UGUUGAUUUUCUGAGAUUCAUUAUUCUCUGCUAUGGUGAGCCGCGCUGAGGGAUCGUCGGAGGCGGGCCCCAGCCGCCGACCGACGUGCGCGGGGCUCCCCGCCGUCGCCGUCGCCGUCGCCGUCGAGGCCGAGAAGAAGAGGAGGAGAAGGAGGAGGGAGCGGCGGACGCCGCGAAAGAAGAAGAUUACGCUGCAGCCGCAGCCCGCGACCGCCGAAGGCCGCGCCGCGCAGCUGAUGGACACGAUGGAGCAGCGCGGGGUCGGGCGCGGCGGCGCUCCGAUCCACGCGAUGGAGAAGUCUCUCACGCAGACCGACGUCGACAUCGAGCAGUGCCGCCUGCAGCUGACCCCGGACCUCGUCAACAGCCUGCUGGGUUCGCCGAUCCUGACCGACGCCGAGAAAGCGGAGCUGCGGUCGGGGACGCAGGGCCUCGACGUCGCGGCCGUCGACCGCGCGAGCAAUGAAUACGACAUGGUGUUCAAGUUCACCAGCAGCUGCAGGCAGUACAGGAUCGUGAAGUGGGCGCAGUUCUGCGUCGACCACGAUCUCACCGCGGGGCAGACGAUGGCCAUCUGGGUCUACCGGCAGCCGCAGCCGCCGCCGCCGGUGCCGAACACGGGCGAAAGCGGAAAGCUCGGGUUGGUUUUGCUCUACUACGAGAAAGGCGACGAGAAGCAGAAGAAGAUGGAUGCUGAACUUCUUGACAGUGGAUUUGUAGACUGCGUGAAAGCGCUGCUGAUGAUGGCCCGUGGGGAGUGAUUCUUGAUAUGAGUCGUCGUCGGAUAGCACUAUUAUUUAAAAUUUUUUUAUAAAUAAUUCUGUCAGUUUUUAUAAUUAUAAAAAUAAUCUUUAAAAAAAAAUUAUAAAAAUAGACCUCUAAUAUAUUAUAUUGAAUUUUUUUAAAAAUAAAUAAUACAGGCGGUGGGUGAGUUAUCGUAUUUAAAUGUGGUAAAUUAUUCACAGUUUUUAUAACUCCUAAUAUUAUUAUAGAGACAUAAAACAUAAAAGAAGAAAGAAAAGAAAUAAAAGAGAAGAAAGUGAUAAAUGAUUUAUCGUUUUUAAAAACAGUAACUUUAUUUUAGAUUUUUUUUUUUUUGCUCUGUGUUAUUCUUCAGUAUUAAAAUUUAUUUUAGAUUUUUUUUUUUUGCUCCUCAGAUUUUAUGAAAAAAUAUUGUUUUCUGAACAGUUUGUGUUUCUGUUUCUCAACUUGAUUGUCUGAGAUUUGAAUUAAUGAAGAAAAUGUUUUUUUUUUUUUUUUUUUUUUNGUAACUUUAUUUUAGAUUUUUUUUUUUUUGCUCUGUGUUUUUCUUCAGUAUUAAAAUUUAUUUUAGAUUUUUUUUUUUUGCUCCUCAGAUUUUAUGAAAAAAUAUUGUUUUCUGAACAGUUUGUGUUUCUGUUUCUCAACUUGAUUGUCUGAGAUUUGAAUUAAUGAAGAAAAUGUUUUUUUUUUUUUUUUUCUUUUGAGAGAUAGGUAACAUGCUAUUCGUUUCGUUUAUUUCAUUUAGAAAUAAAUUUAGCUAAAAAUAUAAAUCAACUAAGAUUCAAAUUUAGAAACUCGGGUAUCAACCACCAAGUCUGUUGUCACUUGCUCCGGGGACGGUCGGUAAUAGCUGUUGUUCCUCAGUAGCUAAUUAUUGUAUUUUUAAAGAAGAUGGAAUAUGCUAGAUGAAAUUUCAAUUAUUUUUAAAUUUUAUGCAAAAUGAUUUUGUAAAAAAUAGUAUGCAAUAACUGUUUUCCACGCUUGAAAGUAUUAUAUUGCACUAAAAAUCAUAUAUCUGCACGGAAUUUGAACUAAAUGAAUAAAAUCAUACAUAGACUCGAAUUAAAUAGAAAAAUUAAUUAUAUUGCAAGCAUAAUGGAACUCGAGUUUAAAUAUUUUUUUUCUAAUACUAUAAUAAGUAAUAUAAAAUAAUUGGUGAUAAAAGAAUUAUAUUUUUAAUAUUUAUAUAUAUUCGAUAAAAACAAUCUGAUAAUUUUGGAAGAAAAAUAAUAAUUCAAUUAUAAUGCAGGAAAAAAAAUCUAAGUCAACAGUAAGUUGAAUCUGCCACGUAGGCAUCUAAAAAGUAAUUAAUUAAUAGAUAUUUUAAUAAAAAAUUAAAUUAAUACUCGCAUUCGUUGAACAACCGUGGCGGAUCUCUCAACGCUCUCCUUCUCCUUCUCCUCCUCCUCCUCCUCAAAGCACCUCCUCCCCCACUGUGAUGCGAACGAAGAACCCUACCAAACCCUACCCACGAUUCCCAUCCUCUCCCGUUAAUCCCUCCUCCCUCAUCUCUCCCACCUCCUCCAUUAGAACUCUCUCUCCAUGGAGCUCUACUUCACCAACCUCUGCAAUUGGUCCUCGGAGCACGCCACUCGGUUCCAGGUAACUUCUCUGUCCUUUUCUUCUUCUUCGGCCAAAAAGAUCGAACCUUUUCUGGGGUUCGAUCCCUUCUUGUUGAGGAAAAAGCUUCCCUUUUGGGGUGGUGUCAAGUGUUGCUCCUCCUCCUCCUCUUUGGAGCGAGGCCUCAAGCCGAAGCCCAUGCCCAGAAUCAAGCCAAUUGUUGAAACCCCAGAGCCAAAAUCGGAUUUUGAUGAUGCCCAUUCGGGGAAAACGGGAUCUUCGUCUCUCUGUGAUCAGAUUGAGAAGUGGGUCUUCUUCGGGAGGUACGAAGAAGCCCUCGAAUUGUUCGAAUUCUUGCGGUGUAAGAGUAAUAUAGUAGUUGGUUCCAGCACGUAUGAUUCGUUGGUGAAUGCGUGCAUCGGUUUGGGAUCGAUCCGAGCGGCGAAGAUGGUGUUCCGCCACAUGCUCGACACUGAUUUUGAGUUCGAUCAGUAUAUGCGGAAUCGGAUCCUGCAGAUGCAUUUGAAAUGCGGCAUGCUCGUCGACGCCCGCCGCUUGUUUGACGAAAUGCCCGAGAGAAGCGCGGUGUCGUGGACCACCAUGAUCACGGGGCUCAUCGACGCCGGCUCAUACGAGGAGGCGUUCGAGCUCUUCCUGCUGACGUGGCAGGAGCAGCUGGAUGCUGGGCCCCGCAUGUUUGCCACUGUUGUUCGCGCAGCGGCGGGUGUAGGCUCUGUUUCUGCUGGCCGGCAGUUGCAUACCUGUGUUGCGAAGAUGGGUUUGUAUGGAAAUGUCUUUAUAUCUUGUGCUCUUAUUGAUAUGUAUAGUAAGUGUGGGUGCAUUGAAGAGGCUCAGUGGGUGUUCGACGAGAUGCCGGAAAAGACCGUCGUUGGAUGGAACAGUAUAAUAGCAGGGUAUGCCCUUCACGGAUACAGUGAGAGAGCCUUAGAGUUGUACUAUGAGAUGCAGAGUUCUAAUGUAAAGAUGGAUCACUUCACUUACUCGAUUGUAGUUAGGAUUUGUGCGCGAUUAGGAUCACUGGAACACGCAAAACAAGCUCAUGCAGGUCUAGUCAGGAACGGUUUUGGGUUUGAUGUUGUGGCUAACACCGCCCUUGUGGAUUUGUAUUGCAAGUGGGGUCGGAUGGACGACGCGAGGAAUGUGUUUGAGAAAAUGCCUAAAAAGAAUGUUAUAUCUUGGAAUGCUCUAAUUGGAGGGUAUGGAAACCAUGGAAUGGGAGAUGAGGCUAUUAAGAUAUACGAGAGGAUGGUCAAAGAGGGAAUGGUUCCUAACCAUGUGACCUUUCUUGCUGUUUUGCAUGCAUGUAGUUACUCUGGUUUGUUAGAGAAAGGGAGGGAGAUUUUUGAACUGAUGGGUCGAGAUCCAAAAACAAAACCUAGGGCAAUGCACUAUGCAUGUAUAAUCGAUCUUUUGGGUCGAGAAGGGCUUUUGGAUGAAGCUUUUUCGAUGAUAAAGAACGCUCCUUUUAGGCCCACUGCAAACAUGUGGGCGGCAUUGCUUACUGCUUGUAGGAUUCACAAGAACUCCGAGCUCGGGAAAUUCGCUGCUGAAAAGCUUUUCGGAAUGGAACCCGAGAAAUUAAAUAAUUAUAUUGUGCUUCUAAAUAUUUACAGCAGUUCGAAUAGGAUGGAGGAUGCAGCGACGGUGUUGGAAACCUUAAAAAGGAAGGGCUUGAGAUUGCUUCCUGCUUGUAGUUGGAUUGAGGUCAGGAAAAAACCUUUUGGCUUUCUCUUUGGGGAUAAGUCUCACCCACAAAGUGUGGAAAUAUAUAGGAGGUUAGAUGAAUUAAUGGAAGAGAUAAAACAAAUUGGGUAUGUUUCUGAUGAAAAAACUUUGCUUCCUGAUGUGGGCGAGAAUGAACAGCGACUGUCAAAGCACCAUAGUGAGAAGUUAGCGAUUGCUUUUGGACUGAUAAACACCCCUGCUUCCACACCCCUGCAAAUUGCGCAGGGCCAUCGAUUAUGUAGUGAUUGCCAUAAUGUGAUUAAGCUCGCCACAAUUGUUACCAAAAGGGAGAUUGUGGUUAGGGACGCAAGCCGAUUUCACCACUUUAGACAUGGGACUUGUUCCUGUGGGGAUUAUUGGUGACUGUAGAUUUCGGAAUUCUUAGUUAAAUGAUCAUACAAGGUUAACUUCUCCAAUUCAUGUUAAUUUCGAGGUAUUUAGCAGUCUAAUCUACUUACAAUAUAUAUGUAUUUUUUUACAAUGAAAUAAUAGCUGAAUGAGCCUUUGUUGUUAAGGAUGUAUCAAAUUACUUUUCUUUCAAAUAUGUAAUUUGUAUAUGCCUUCUGAUUUAUUUAUUUUUUUCAGUGCCUUUUGUUUCUGUUUUUUCAGAUUUCUGCAUCCAAAUCUGUAACUGUUCGAUCUUUUUCUCUGUAUCUCAUUUGUUUGAUUAUGCUUCUAAUGUGAAUUAGUACCAUGAGAUUCAUUCUCUUAAUCCAACACUGAUUUUGCCUAUUACCAACCUACCAAGGAAAGAACUUGUACAUUUCUUGUUCUUUUAAUGUGACAUAUUUAAUUAUCAAAUUAGUUUAUCAAAAUCUCUGGCAAAAGAUAUAUUAGUUAUAUUUAGCUUGAUAACUUGUCUUCUACAAUAACUAGUCUUCUACAUUAUUUAAAGCAAUAGUUUUUUAUGAUUUCCUAGUUUCACCACCUUAGUUCUAUAUUCAUUUGUAUCUAUAGAAAUUCAUAUGAGCUUUAUUGCAUUAAAGCGCAACUAAUAGCUUAUCUUCACACAAUUCUGACAUGGAUGAUUAAAAAAGAAAAAAGAAAAGGUGGAGGUAAGGUCAAGUCACCACAAUGGGAAUAUUGCUACCCUGCUUUUGCUGUAGAUUUUGAACUAUUAGAGAGGGAAAAUAGAGGGAGAUUUCAAACUAUUAGAUAAGGAAAACAAAGGGAUAGGAUGGGUUAGAAAUUUAUUUGUACUUUUUGGCCCCAAAGCACAGGCUUUUAAUUUGCCAAGUGCUUUAUUUCUUUCUCAGAAAACCGUUUAAAUAUAUCAAUAUACAAGUUCAUUUUAUUACACUAUUAGACACGCAUCAUAGCAUAUUUACCGGCGAUUAUGGUUUUGCAUCCCAGAAAAACAUCAUCAAAUGCUCCCAGACUAAGACUUCUUCUAACAUGCUAGGACAUCAGGAAAUCUCCAGAGAACAUACAUUGGCAUCAGAAAAGUGAAUAUUUGGUGACCACCAAAGUCACAAACCAACCCCUUUGCCACCCUCUACUGCCAUUACUUGGCUAAUGUAACAAAAAGCUAAAAUUGCCUAAGUAGGAUGUAUAUAUUAUAGUCUCUAUCAUAUGGGUUGCAAGGUCAUCUGAUUCUAAGCUUUCCUUGCACUCCUAUGUAAGAAAGGAAUCAUGCUGAAAAGAAGGGAAAAAGAGAGGGAAAGCAUCAGAUUUGGAGCAUCUUUACGACAGCUAAUUUCUGCUCUGUUCACAACAGCACAAUCACUGUACAAUCUUUUUCACUUUAGCUCUCUUUUCACAUUAUUCACAAUAAAAGGGGUCUUCUUCAAUUGCCUAUUCCCAUUCAUGCCCAGUUAUCUCAUUCGGCAUUCUUAAUUUCUUAUUCUCUUCUAAAACACUGACAAAUGGCGAGAAUGGGAGGUAUUUUAAUCUGCAUGUUGAUUGUGAUCAUGGAUGCAGUUGCAGGUGUACUUGGUAUUGAAGCCCAGAUUGCGCAGGAUAAGGUACUAAUGGUUCACAUAAAUUACAAAAGUUCCUUUCCAGUUUUUUCAUUUACAAAUUUAGUCAUUGAAGUUUGUUCUGCAUAAUAAUCGAGUCCUGAAUUAAUCUAUUGUCGAAAUAAAAUUGCCUCAUUGUCAUCAUCAUUAGAGUUUGUUGCCAAGGCCUAUCUCAAAAAACUGCCAUGUCAGCGAACUCCAACGAUGAUGUUAAUAUGGCGGCUUUAUUAUAGAAAGUAGAUGAAGGGGAGUUAAUUGUUAGAAUGGACAAAUUUUGGGCAUGAUUGAGUCAUAGCUCCAAGGGCAUCACUGAAACUUUAAAAUGAGUUUGUGAUUAAAAUAUGCAAUGUCAUGAUUAGCAAAUGCUUUGCGUUUCCUUGUUGGGUGCUCGAUGAAAACUAAACUAAAAAAAAGGGGAAGCACUUAAGGGUGUUGAUCUUCGAGUGCAAAGAGCCGGUGCAUCAAGCCUACAAGCUCGGGCUUGCGGCAGCGGUUCUCCUUGCCAUGGCCCACGCAUUGGCCAACCUGCUCGGCGGCUGCGUCUGUAUCUGCUCCCAAGUUGAGUUCGUCCGUUCAUCGACUAAUAGGCAACUGGCUGCCAUGACCCUCCUCCUCUCAUGGUAAUUGUGCAAAUCUCGAUUUUAAUAUCGUUAUUGCAUGUUUAUUAUAUCCCUGCAAAAUCAUCUAUUCACAUACAUAAACUUCUCAUAUCUUGAUUUUAAUAUUAUUAGGCUAGUGCACUAAAUUUGACCACAUCAACCGUACAAAACACCAAUGUUGACAAGAGUUAAUGCGUCUGCUAAAAUCGCUAUUCUUUCAAAUGUGCCCAUGCCCUGGAAUAAGUUUCAUAUGCCUGCAAUCUUGCAAAUCCAAUUUAUGCUAUCAAUAUACAUUUUUAUACUCUUCAAAACUUGGAUUCUGCGGUAGCAUGUUCAAAUUGAAGUUACGUGCACGUGUUUAAAGAUCACAACCAGGCAAUUAGGAACGAAUAUGUGUGUAAAAACAUGUUGAGACGACAAUUGGCGGUCCCAUUUUGAAAUGUUGCACAUGUUAAGAGCUUGAACUUUGAAACUUAUUUUCCAUCCUUGUCUAUUUUGACUAGGAUCGCUCUUGUGAUCGGGUUCUCAAUGUUGAUGAUCGGGGCACUGGGUAAUUCAAAAUCGAGAGCUUCAUGCGGUUUCUCGCAUCGCCAUGUGUUGUCGAUCGGAGGGAUAGUGUGCUUCAUCCAUGGCCUGCUCGCUGUUGCUUACUACGUCACCGCCACCGCCGCUGCGUGGGAGGAAGGUAAGCCGCAGGUGACGACAAGGGAUGGCGGAAUUCAAGCUCAACCUUGAUUGCAACUACACACAUUUAUGCAUAUCGGUCCCUGUUGCUCUCUUUUUUUUUUUUUUCCUUUGUUAUAUUGUUCUUGCAUUUUGUUUAUCAUGAUGUAAUUGUUCUCCAUUGUAUUGAGUGGUGUGAUCUCUCGAUGUAGCGAAGUUCUCGUAUAUUCAAAUUCAAGGGAGGAAACAUAAUAUGGCAUUGUGAAAAUGAGGUUAAAUUUUUCGCGCGUGGUUAGCGACUGCAAUACGAAAUCUUUUCAUUUGCAGUAAAUCGAGUUUGUGAGUUUGUGCAUCUUCCUGCAUUGAAUUACUGGAUUGCUGUGAACAGAUUUUCUAGUUCCCAUUCAUUUGGGUUUCAAGUUCUGAGUUUGAGUAGCUCAAAAUUUCGAAAUUUAUUAUGCCGCAUUUAAUUUUUUUCAAUGAAGUUAUAUCUCUCAUGGAGUUUUCAAUUUUGUUUUGGGAACCAAUCAAUUUUAAAUUUGAUUUUGCCUUGGUGAAUUCAUUUUCUAUUUUUGAGAAACUGAGCCCAAAUUUGGAUCUUUCCUAAGAUUAUACCAUUUGAAAAUUUAAGGGCCAUAAUAUGGGCGUUGACCUAAGAUCGGAUCGGGCAAGCUAGACCCGAAACCCGACCCAAAUAUAGCAACCAUAUUCGAGAAGCCCUAACGUGCUCCAAAGCUCGGUGGCGUCGCCGAAGCGAAACUUAUAUACACAAUUACACAUCUCUCGACUGCGGCGUCGCGCGGCGCCGACUCCACCCGCUCCUCUCCCCGGCAAUGCCUCCGCCGGCCAUCGCCGCCACCUCCGCGGCGCACCUCGUCUCGCCGGAGUCGCUCGCCGCGGCGGGGCGCGCGGCGGAGCGGCUGAGCCUCCCGGCGCUGCAGUCGAAGAUGAAGUGCGACCCCGAGGGCUACGCGGCGGAGCUCCUCCUCCUCCGCCGCCACUUCGACUCCUCCCUCCACCUCUUCCGCCACCACUCCGCCCUCAACCCCUCCUCCUCCGCCUCCGACCACGCCGUCGCCAAGGAGGUCGGCGACCUCGCUAUGUUCCUCGCCCACGUCGCCCCCUUCUACCCGGACAAGCUCGCCGAUUUCCCCUCCCAGGUCGCCGAUCUCCUCCGCUCCGACGCCCGGUCCCUCCCCUCCUCCCUCCGCGUCCACCUCGCACAAGCCCUAAUCCUUCUCGUCAAUCGCAAGGUGCGAUUUUCCUCUUCUUCUCUCCCCAUGAUCACCAUCAUCAUUGUGAUUUUGUUCUAUGAAAUGCUUCGGGAAUGGUAGAUGAGUAGGAAUAUUAAGCUUUUAGUAUUCCUAGUAUUAACGGAAAAUUUGUAAUUUAUGGAAAAAAAAAAUGGUAGAUCAGUAGGAAAAGUUAAGUUUUUAGUACUCUUGUAUUAACGGCAAAAUCACAAUUUUUGAGAAAGUAGUAUUCUUGCAACAAAAAUGUGCGGCAUCAAAGGCAAGAGCUUUAAUUUUCAAAGAGAGUUGAUUCAACAGCAGGAGGACCAGACAAUCUCGAUAUAAAGUGUUAUAGUGGGAGUUACAGGGUGCUGAACCUUUAAAGCUUUAUCUAUGGGAAGCCCAUGGAAAGUUCUCGGCUUUUUGAUAUUUGUGUUCUUUGUUCCUGGUCAUAGCUAUAGUUAAAGUGUGCAUGAGGGCUCCUUUUUUUGUCAAGUCGAAGAGCCUGUUUGUGUAGGCUAUCGAGUAAUGAGUUAUGUUGGAUGGGAGCUCCCCAUUGGAUUGCAAUAUAGGUGAGUGUUUUUUAGCUGUUGCAAUUCCUUGUGAUAUUCUGAUGUUUUUCGCUUCUGAUAGAUUUGCCGAAAACAUGAUUUAUUAUAUCCUAUAAACCGACAGUACUUAAUCUUUUUUAGUCAGUUGUCGACACCUUGUGUCCACUACUACUAAAUUUUUUUACUGCAAGAAGAGAUAUACCGGAGGAAAAACUCUAUGAAGCUUGGGAUGGGUAUUAUAUUAUUUCGUUAGCCAUAGUGAGUGUGAUUUGACCUCUACAGCUGGAUGUUGGUAGCUCUGUUUGAGAUCUUCAAGUUCCAUUGAUGUUAUUUGAACUCAUAGUUGCAUCUUUAAAAUCCACUAUGGAUGUAUUGUAAAUUUUUCAUAGCUUGAGUUGUAUUACUCUUUUUGUUUUUAGAUUGCUGAGCAUGGCGACACAUUAGAAUUGUUUAUGGACCUUCAAACUCUCGGCGACCGUACAUUGAGAAAACUGGCCUUUUCACAUGUUGUGCACAGCAUUCGACGGAUGAAUCAAAAACAUAAAAAUGAGCCCAUGAACCGCAAAUUGCAGAAUAUUCUCUUUUCAAUACUACAGGUUUGUAGCAUCCUGUGUUCUUACUGGCGACGUGCGUCGCUCUGUUUUAACCUUUUCUCUCUAUACUUUUCUAUGGGCCUGUUUGGCCUGGUUAGAGGCUCGGAGCUUUUGGAAAAAUAUUUCAGCAGAGUUGUCGCAUAAAAAGUAACUGCAUCUUUGUCAAUAUCUCCUACAAAAGCUUCCUAUUGCUGUAGAAGCAGAAGCUUCAAACUGGAAUCUGUGCCUUGAGACCAAAUUGCUUACUCCAAUCUGUUUUAAGCCAAAUACUUUGUCUUGCCUUUUGGAAUGGAGCAGUUGUGUCAGAAUCCAAGCCAAAUAAACACCAAGUAAACAGUUGCUUUCUUCAAGACAAUAAUCAUAUUUGUGUCUAAUCUUGACAAUUGUAUACAACUUUGUCUUAUUAUAGGGCGAAGAAGAACUAAGAGCCAAAAGGUCUCUUACUGUUCUUUGUGACCUUCAUCGGCGGAAGGUGUGGUUUGAUGAUCGAACAGCAAACGGCAUAUGUGCAGCAUGUUUCCACCCAUCUUCAAGGUAAUUUUUCACCUUAUUUCACAUUUGGUUAUUGCAAUACUUCCAUACUUCAUUGUUUGAGUUGUUUGGGAGUUCAGGAUUAUGAUAGCUGCUCUUUCUUUCCUUCUCGGGUAUGAACAAGUUGAAGAAGAGGAUGAGAGUGAAGCCUCCAGUAGUGAAGAUGAUACCGCUGAACCAUCGCAAGUCAUUCUUAGCAGAGAGGCUGUUUACAAGGUACCCUGAUUCUUCAUGUUCUUCUCUUUUUAUCUUUUAAAUCCCUUAAACUUUUGGUAUAUUUUAGGAGCUACAGUUAAAAUUUUGUUUCUAUUCAUGUUGCUAGUUUCAGAGCAGCAGGAUGUCUUGUUGUUUGUAAAGUAACUGUACAUAAAAGCAUGCAAGAGGCUUGUCUCAGUCUCUCUCUCUCUCUCUUCCCUUUUUUGGGUCACAGCUAUUAUAUGUUGAUAUUUUCUGUAUAGGAUAUUGAUGGAGCCCUUCCAUUUCAAAUACCCAGUUCAUAAUAGUUUUUGUCGAUAAAAAUUAUUUAUGUAUGCUCCUAAGGCAAAAUUUUUUGAUCUUUUCUUCCUUAUAGGCACAUCACAAGGGUACCACUGCUAGCAAGAAAAAGAAGAAAGCUAAACUGCAGCGUGCUGUUCGUAGCAUGAAAAGACAACAAAAAAUAGCCUCGCAAAAUAACAGUUCCAAUUACUAUUCUCCCCUCACAUAUCUAAAAGAUCCACAGGUUGGAUCAUUGCUUGAACUAAUAGCUAUAACCUAUCUUGCUUAUCUUGUUUCCAGCUAAUAGAUUUUUUUUUUCAUUUAUUGUUUGCAGGGUUUUGCUGAAAAGCUGUUUUCUCGACUUCAGAAAUGUAAUGAGCGAUUUGAGGUCCCCCCCAUCUUCUUCUAUCCUUUAUUUUUGAAUAGUUGGCUAUUUGGCUAUUUUUCUUAUUCGUUAUGACUUCUGACUUCUAUCUCAUAAUCAAGUUAAAACUAUCUUCAGUAUUGAGAAUUAAAACAUAAUCUAAUUCAUUUUAUACGGCUCUCUCGUUUCCGGAUGUUUUGGGAAGUUCAAUGGUGGUUGGUUGUUUGGUCAUAAUUAGUGUUUGUCCUUAAUACGCCUCGGUUGAUACAAAGCAAUGUCUUAUUUGUUUAUAAACUUAUACUUCUUAUAUGUUGUUGUAAGUCGUAACAUGGGUCUCCUUUUUUUUUUUUCAGGUUAGGAUGAUGAUGUUAAAAGUAAUUUCUAGGACUAUUGGGUUGCAUCGUUUGAUAUUGUUAAAUUUCUAUCCAUUUCUUCAAAGAUAUGUUCAGGUAUGUUAUAUCAUUUAUGAAUAAGGAUGCUAACACAAGAUUGAAAUCAUGAAUCUUCUCAUCUUUUUGCCCUUUUUGUUGGCAGCCUCAUCAACGUGAUGUCACGACUUUGCUUGCUGCGGCAGUCCAGGCCUGCCAUGAUAUGGUCGUCCUUUCACUUAGUUUCUUUUUGUAGUUAAAAUUUUAAACUGAUGAGUUAUGUUGUACUGUUUUCUGUUUUUCGUAUAUUGAUUUGGCAAAUGUGUUUUUUUUUGUUCAAUAUUAGGUGCCGCCUGAUGCUGUGGAACCACUAUUUAAACAGAUAGUAAAUCAGUUUGUGCACGACCGCUCUCGCACAGAGGUACUGUGGAAUAUUUAUGUUUUUAGAUGUUUUAAGUCAUACCUAGUGGUUUAUUUCUCACUUUUAAUCGUCCAUAUUUGUUUACAUACAUAUUUAUUUAUAUAAUCUACUAUUCUGGCAUUGAGGAAAUAUACUAUUUCCCUUUGUUUGCUAGGCUAUUGCCGUUGGACUGAAUGUUGUGAGAGAGAUCUGUCUGCGGAUGCCUCUGGUAUUGUUUCCAUGUGAUUCGCUCUUGUUAAUAAAGAUGAAUUACUGUUAGUUAUUUACCUGGAUUUUUUAAAUUUAAUACUGGAGUUUAUUUUCUGUUUUCACAUUUUAUAUGCUGUUUUUAGUUUUCUUUUUUCAUUCACUUAAAUGUUAUUUUCUCAUGAACCCUUCAGCUGAUGAAUGAGGACUUGCUUCAAGACCUAGUUCUAUACAAGAAGUCGCACGAGAAAGCAGUUUCGACAGCUGCUCGAUCAUUAAUUACUCUAUUCAGAGAGGUUAAUCAAAUGAUACCUUAUUCUAUAAUUUUAUUUGAUGUCUUUUAAAAUUGUUUCAUUGAACUGGACUUUGAAUUUGAAUUCAGAUAUGCCCUUCUCUUUUGGUCAAGAAAGAUCGUGGCCGUCCAAUUGAUCCAAAAGCGAGACCAAAAGCUUUUGGAGAGGUCAAUGUGGCCAGCAAUGUACCUGGACUUGAGUUGCUGCAAGGACAUGUUGAUGAUGAUAUUGAUGAUGAUGAUGAAGAUGAAGGUUCUGAGGGAGAUCAAGAAAAUGAUGACGACGAAGUAGAUGAGGUAGAGGGGGAUGAUCAUGUUAGAUCUGAAGGUGAAGAUGAAGAAUUAACAGAUGGUGCUGAUGGAGAUGGGAGCUAUGAUGACUCUGGUGAUGAUGAUGAUAAUGAUGACGAUGGUGAAGAAGAAGAGGAGGAUGAUGAAGAUGAUGAAGUGGUGACUAAAAAGGUUAAAGAAGAGCCUAAUAUUAACGACCAUGAUAAUGAUGAUGAGGAUGAUGAUGAUGAUGAUGAUGAUGAUGGUGAUGGUGAUGAUGAUGGUGGUGGUGGUGGCGAGGGCACUCACCCAGUUAGUAGUGAUGAGGAAAAGGUGAAAGAAGAUGAAUUAUUGAGAGGAGAGAAGAGAAAGUUGUCGGAUUUCAUUGGGCAGCUAAAUGCUGCAGAUGUGAGCCUUCGAGCUUUAAAGAGAGUUGCAGGCUCUCAAAGGGCACGAAAUUUGCCUAAUGAAACUGAUGGAAUACUUUCUAAUGAAGAUUUCCAGCAUAUUAAGGAGCUGAUGGUAAGUUGUUUCUGACAUUUGUUGCACAUUUUUUCUGCAAAGAGGCUUUAUCCAUUUCCUAUUAGAGGAUAUUUCCAGUGAAUUUCUGCUCUAGCCUAUCUCAGUGGUCUUUUUAGCCUGCCCAGGGCUACCAAAGUGAUUUCUUCAUACUUCGUAGAGCUGUCCGAAAAAGCACUACCAGCAUCUAUUUUGAAAUGUCCCCCAAAAGCUUUAUGUUCCACCAAAGGCACAAGCUUCCCAACUACAGGAAAUGCUCUAGAGUUUUUGUUUACCAAAUGCCUGGCUACUGCCUUGCGGACUGCUAUCUUAAACUUUGGUCCUGGAAAUAGACCUAUUUGUAGGAGGAUGUCGCCACAAACUUUAGUACGCCAUCUUGGCCUUCACAAAGAUUAUACAAAUAUUUACAAAUAAAUAAUUGAUUUCAUUUUUUUUUUUUCAGUUCCGCAUGUAAUUAUGGGGACAGUAACAGUUUGCAUGAAUUGAAUGUUUAGGCAAAGAAAGAUGCUAAGCUCUCCAUGGCUCGGGAAGGUCUUUCAGCAAAGGGUUCAGAUUCCAGAAUAAAAAUCCCUUCUUCUGAGCAGCUUAGUGUAAAACGUGUCGAUCCUGCUAAACUUGAGGUGAGUCAUCAAUCCCUCUAGUUAUUAGUUGCUUUCUGUUCUAUGUUAACCUUUCCUGUUAACCACCCAUUACUUGUGUGGUGAUAAGUGAAGCUUGUGAAGAAUAUAUCAUGAUAAACAUUCUUCUAUACGCUCUGUCAUUUUACAUACACAAUAUUAUAUCUAAAGUAGCUUAUUGUUCCUCCUCCUUACAAACCAAUACAGGUAAACAUUAAAAGAAAGCGUACCAGUGAAGAGAAAUUGGCGGCAGUGAAAGCUGGGAGGGAGGAGAGAGGAAAGUACCAGGCUAGGACGGCCGUGAAGCAGAAAAAGGUACCUGUCCAAAUUCAUUACUACGCUCAAUUGUGCCGGGUCUAUUUCCGAUUGGGUUUCUCUGUUAAAUGUUUUUCUAUUGGGUUUCACUGAAUUUAUGAGAUAAUGAUUCUUAGAUUUGGUCCAAGGGGUUAAAUCUACAACCAUUAGAUUGGUGUUUAGCAUACUUAUUAUUUAUAAUAAAUAUAUAACACCAUGAUGUAUUUUUCCCCAAUCAUUUAUUCCAUUUCCCUUUUUUUAAGAGAAGCAGAGAACUGUUAUCUUCUUUUUUCAUUUUCAAACUGAAUCGAAUUAAUCAGGAUGCAUCAGUUCAACUCUGAAUUUGCUCUCUCCUCUCUCUCACACACACAAGCACACACCAGAAUAUUUCCUUUGGUUAAAGUUACUGUAUCAGUUUAUGAGGUGUUCGAAACUGAUUGAAAUGUUGGUGCAUUGGUUGAUUCAGACUGGCGGGCUGAGUAACCGGCAGAAAGAGCACAAGAAGUCGAUGCCUUCCGCCGCGAAGAGGGCGAAGGCGGUUCGUUCGCGACAAGAGAGGAAGAAGAAACAAAGGCACUCCGGCAAGAAUUUCUUGGGCAAAAAAGCUUGGAAAUAGGGGAAAAAAAAAUUCACCUAUAAAUUUGCCUCUCCCUUUUGUACUCAAGCAUCUAAAAUUUUGACUUGUACUAUUUUUUGCCUUAUUUAAUGAGGAACAUAAAUCUUAGGUUUUUGUUGGUUGGCAGUGAGUGAAAGGUGUUAGUAAAUUGGCAAAUGUUGAUAGAGAAAAUUUAGGUCUUGAUUUGUGGCCUUAACCUUUUUGUUUUUUCCUACUUAAAUUUUAUGUGGUUUCCUGUGUAGACGGUUGCUCUAGGUGGCAUAAUUUUGUUAACUGCAUGAUCAGAUGAUGCUUUUCGAAGUAGAGAACUUGUGCCAGAAGUAAUGCUAAUGGGGCAAUCAAUCACUCAAUCACAAGAUUGGACGAAAAAACUGACAAAAUAAAAGGCAUCUUGUGGCAUCCAAUUCACAUUUGCAAAAGAAAAUAGGCUUCACUUCCAUAUAUAGGAUGGAAUAAAUAAAAUACCCUAGAGAGCCUUAAAUUGGUGAUAUAUGCAUGCUGAUAUGAAUCAAAAUUGUAAUGUAAAGCAUAAAAUACAUCUGAAACAAAUUCGUCGAACAUAAAGAGGAGAAAAACAGAAACAUGGAACUAUAUGCAAUUCAGACAAUCUGCUUCAUGUUAAGUGUGAUUACUCCUUCGCCUUCGUUCUUUCCUUGAUCACCUUUUUCCAAUUUUCUGCACUGUCGAUUACUUCGCCGGUCUUAAUGAGAUAGCGAACUCUUGUGCCGUCCUCGAGAAUUUUAUGCCCCACUCUGCUUGCUACCUGCUGUUCUUUCGAGUACAGCAUCACAUUCGAGCUGUGAAUAGCUGCUUCAAUCUGUUCGCAGGAAAAAAAAGAAGUUAAUCGCACAAGUAUUCUUUUGGAAUCUCAUUGAGUUUCUAGUUAUGACUCUAUUGAAAUGCAGGAAAACUCUCUUUACAUAUCGUAGUCUUAACACCUCCGUCCCUGAAACUUCGAAACAUAUAGUUAACUUCUACUAACAUAUGUGCAAGGUCAUAGAUUUUGUCGAAUGGAACAAGGAGAAGUGAUGAAAUCUUAUAUAGUUUACAGCAACAUAUAUAGGUUAGGUGUAAAGAGAAUAUCUUAUGAUAUAAAUACUGGGAUGUUCCUGCAAUUUAACUGGAAGACUAGAAGAUCCCCUACCUUUACAAUUUGACCUGGCUCUCCUUGUUCUCUGCUUUUCAUGUGCUUGGUCUUCAAGUUCAUGUCCUUGACAAUCACAGUGCUGUUAUGCCUGAAAAUUUGAGUAAUUUCUCCAACUUUACCCUUUUCGCGGCCCGCGAUAAUCUUUACUGUGUCACCAACUUUAACGUGCAUCUUAUGCAACACCGGGAGGCUGUUGGGCUUGCAUUCCUUGCGCUCCCAUCGCUUAAGCUGCGAAAGGAAGACAAGAUUUCCACAAUAUCAUAGGCCAGUUCAAUACGUUGAUGCACGCGUCCAACUACAUGCAUGCCGAUCGAUGAUUCAUUGUAUAUAUACUGAGGAGCAAAUAUGAUUCAGAAAUUAUUACUAGCUUAUCGAAUGCAGAACGGAAGAAAUGUACUGACCUUCAUUACUAUGGCACAUGGUUUGUCCAGAAUUUUGAUCUGCAUGCCAAAAUCACAGGCAUUAGAACUUUCAGACGAAGAACAAGGGAACAGAUGAAUAGAUAAACAGAUGAUCAUGUACUAAUACAAGCGAGAAUCAGCAUAAUAAUUUUGUCAAUGAUUUUUCUGAAAGAAAAGUGCAAGAAUUCCUAGUUGUAUGAUCCAAAUAGAUAUUCUAUGUAUCAUGAACCUAGGUUAGGAGAAUUGUUAUUCCAAUUUAGGUUAUCUUCAUUUUACUUGAGAAAUACUUUGCCAUUUUGCAGUUAUUGAAGUUACAAAAAGAAAAAGGAAGGGACAUUCUUUUUACACUUUGCAAAAACUUGAAAACUUUUGAACUAAAAUGAUAGCAAGUUAUGAAGUUAAAAAAAUAUAUAUAUACAGAAAAGAAGCAGCAGCAUGCAUUCCAUGUCUUGAAUCUGAGAUGUUUGGAAAUGCAAUCAACAAAAGAAAACCAGAAAUGGUGCCAUUGGCACUCUAAACCAUUAAGAAAAUCGAUAUAUUGAGUCUAACAUGCGAGCACCAGAUUCUCAAAACUUCAAACCAGGAGUCAACUCAUUCGACAUUGAAAUCCUCGACUGCAUUUGGGUCGGAUAUGUUGUUAGGAAAUCGAUAUCCCUUACAGUGAUAAGACUAAAACCGAUACCCCACGGAUUCCUAGUGCUAAAGUGAGAAGAUUCAAACAAUUAUAUUGGCAUUUAUUUUGCUUUUUUUUUAUCACCACGAAUACUAAUUGAGAAGUAUAACCAGAAAAAUCCAAAUCCAGAAUACCUCUUGCUUAGCUUUUCUGAAGAAAACAGUGCGUGUCGCAGCCACUCUAUCCAAUUCUACUAAGGGAAGGCAUAAGCUCUAGUUUAUCAUAGAUCAUAACAAAACAUAUUUUGCAGCAUUCCUGAGGGUAAUGCAGCACACGAAAGAGAGAAAGAGAAGGCCAAAGGCCGCAAUUUUGAUACAUUGCCGACGAAUUCCUCAGCAUACAUCUACACAUUUUGGGCACUUUUGAAAGCACCAGCUUCAUCAACUGCUCAAAAUUCUCAGGCAUUUUAGGCCCAAACACGCAAAAGAAUUCGAAAUCGAAAAAAUGGCGAACUUCGGGCAUUCGAAAGCUCCGCAGUGUAUCAACUACCAGGUACAAUUAGAAGCAGAAAAUUUGCAUUUACACUAACCCAAACCCAAUUUUUUAUUUUUUUUUUAAAAAACAUGUUCUGUAUAAUUUCCUCAACCAUUCUUCUACAAUCACAAGAAAUUUUUAAUAUAACCCGAUCAAAAUCGCAAAAGGAAGCAACUUUAUUCUUCCAUGAACACAUUUCUCGUCAAAAUGGGGGGCGAAAACCCAAGAACCCAAUCGAAAAGCCCUCGGCUUUACCCAUGAUAGUGGUAAAACGAGAGAACCCCGAUGACAAAAUCCGCUCAAAACUACAAACCGAGCCAUACCCAUCGCUCCGGAGCUCAAAAUGGGAACCAUACGGAGAAGGGGAGAGGGAGAGGGGGAGAGAGAGAAGCUGACCGAGGAAGGGGAGGAGGGGAGGAAGGGGGAGAGGCGGAGGCCGAAGAAGGAGUUGGAGAUGGAGUUGGAGAUGGAGAGCCCCGCCAUGGAGCUCUGGAGCGCCAUUAUCGUCGCCAUCUUCGUCGUCGUCGUCGUCUUCUUCCUUCGUUCUCCUUCGCCUCGCUCGCUACUCCCCAAGCGUUCGGAGAUGAUAACGCUCGACUUCUUCGCAAAUAUGCGCAUAGACCCCUCACCUAUACCUAAUUCUAAAUAUAUCCCUCAAAUAGCUAUUUUAGUAAACUAUAGUAAGACUAAAAUAGCUAUUCUUAGAGUGUUUGAGUAGCAAAUUUUUUUUCGCAAAAAUAGGAGUAUGUAUAUUUUAAAAUUUUUUUUUCCUUUUUGGUUGUCACUAACAUCAUUAUUUUGGUGAAAUAUAGUAAAUCUAAGAUAGCUUUUAAAUUCAAAUAUUAGAGUUUUUUAUAAUAAAUUUUUUUUUGCAAAAUAUUUAUCAGGGUACGUAUAUUUUUAAAAAAAUUUCUUUUUUCCUUUUUAUUGUUAGGAACAGCUCCAUUUUGGUGAUCUAUAGUAAAUCUAAAAUAAUUAUUAAAUACAAAUAUUAGAGUCUUUGAGUAGGAAAAAUUUUUGUGCAAAAAAUAUACGGGUAUGUAUAUUUUUCAAAAAAUUAUAUUUUUCUAUUUUAUUGUCACGGACAGCAUCAUUUUGGUGAACUGUAGUAAGGCUAAAAUAGCUAUUAAAUUCAAAUAUUAGAGUCUUUGAUUAGCAAAAAAAAAUUUGCAAAAAAUUUAUAGGAGUAUGUAUAUAUUUUUUGAAAAAUUAUUUUUUUUUGUUGUCAGGAACAACGCUAUUUUGAUGAACUACAAUAAGACUAAAAUAGCUAUUAAAUUCAAAUAUUAGAGUAUUUGAGUAGCAAAAAUUAUUUUUUUGCAAAAUUUUUUUUUUCCUUUUUGUUGUCAAGAACAACACUAUUUUGGUGAACUAUAAUAAGGCUAAAAUAGCGAUUCUUAGAGUUUUUGAAUAGCAAAAUUUUUUUUGCCAAAAUAGGAGUAUGUACAUUUAAAUUUUUUUUUCCUUUUUUGUUGUCACGAACAGCACCAUUCUGGUAAACUAUAAUAAGGCUAAAAUAGCUUUUUAAUUCAAACAUUAGAGUCUUUGGUAAUAAAAAUUUUUUUGCGAAACAUUUAUGAGAGUAUAUAUAUUUUUUUAAUUUUUUUUUCUUUUUAUUGUCACAAACAGCUCCAUUUUGGUGACACAUAGUAAGUCUAAAAUAAUUAUUAAAUUUAAAUAUUAGAGUCUUUAGUAUGAAAAAUUUUUGUGCAAAAAAUAUAGUGGUAUGUAUAUUUUUUAAAAAAAUUAUAUUUUUCUAUUUUGUUGUCAUGGACAGCAUCAUUUUGGUGAACUGUAGUAAGGCUAAAAUAGCUAUUAAAUUCAAAUAUUAGUCUUUGAUUAGCAAAAAUUUUUUUGCAAAAAAAUUAUAAGUGUAUGUAUAUUUUUUUUUAAAUUAUUUUUUUCUGUCGUAACAAGCAGCUCCAUUUUGAUGAACUAUAGCAAGGCUAAAAUAACUAUUAAAUUCAAAUAUUAAAGUCAUUGAGUAUUUUCCUUUUUUCUUGUCAUGAACAGCAUUAUUUUGGUGAACUAUAGUAAAGCUAAAAUGACUAUUCUUAGAGUCUUUGAAUAGCAAAAGUCUUUUUGCAAAAAUAGGUGUAUGUAUAUUUUUAUAAUUUUUUUNACCCCCCCUGUGGUUUCAUGCAUUCUCACUUUCAUACCCUGUGGUUUAAAACGUAUCAAUUUGCCCCCCUGUGGUUUCAUUUUUCUCUUUUUGUUAUCAAUUUUAUUAUUUUUUUUUUCUUAAAUCAGUGACAAAAUUAAAAUUAAAGGAUACUAAAGUGAAUAUUCGAUAAACAUAGAUGGUUAUCUGAAGUUUUUUGUAUAUAAUUUAACGAAAUAUUAACGAAAAAGCUUCUGAAAAGAUAAAAACGAAACCACAGGGGGGGCAAAUUGAUACGUUUUAAACCACAGGGUACUAAAGUGAGAAUGCAUGAAACCACAGGGGGGGUUUUUGAAGUUUUCCCUAAAUUCAAAUAUUAGAGUCUUUGAAUAGCAAAAAUUUUUGUGCAAAAAACUUAUAGGGGUAUGUAUAUUUGUUAAAAAAUUAUAUUUUUCUAUUUUGUUGUCACAGACAGCAUUAUUUUGGUGAACUGUAGUAAGGCUAAAAUAACUAUUAAAUUCAAAUAUUAGAGCAAAAAAAUUUUUGCAAAAAAUUUAUAGGAGUAUGCAUAUUUUUUAUUUUUUAUUUUUUUUUUUGUCACGAUCAGCACCAUUUUGAUCAACUACACUAUGGCUAAAAUAGCUAUUAAAUUAAAAUAUUAGAGUCUUUGAGUAGAAAAAAAAAAUUUUUUUUGCAAAAUUUUUUUUCCUUUUUUGUUGCCAGGCACAACAAUGUUUUGGUGAACUAUAUUAAGAUAAAAUAGCCAUUCUUAGAGUCUUUGAGUAGCAAAAGUUUUUUUGCAAAAAUAGGUGUAUGUAUAUUUUAAUUUUUUUUUUUUUUUUGUUGUCACAAACAACACCAUUUUGGUGAACUAUAAUAAGCUAAAAUAGCUAUUAAAAUCAAAUAUUAGAGUUUUUAAGUAACAAAACAAUUUUUGCAAAAAAUUUAUAGGACUAUGUUUUUUUUUUUCUUUCUGUUCUCACGAACAGUACAAUUUUCGGUGAACUAUAGUAAGUCUAUAAUUGCUAUUAAAUUCAAAUAUUAAAGUCUUUAAAUAGCAAAAAUUUUUGUGCAAAAAAUUUAUAGGGGGGGAGGGGUGGGGGGUUGUGUAUAUUUUUUAAAAAAAUUAUAUAUAUAUUUUUUGUUGUCGCGAACAACAUUAUUUUAGAGAACUAUAGUAAGGCUAAUUAAAUUCAAAUAUUAGAGUCUUUAAUUAGCAAAAAAUUUUUUGCAAAAAAAAUUUGUUUUUCUUUUUUGUUGUCGAGAACAACACUAUUUUGAUAAACUAUAGUAAGGCUAAAAUAGUUAUUCUUAGAGUCUUUCCGUAGCAAAAUUUUUUUUGUAAAAAUAGGAGUAUGUAUAUUUAAAAAACAAAUAUUUCUUUUUUGUUGUCACGAACAGCACCAUUUUGGUGAACUAUAGAAUGGCUAAAAUAGCUAUUAAAUUCAAAUAUUAGAGUCUUUGAUUAUUAAAAUUUUUUUUGCAAAAAAUUUACAGGAGCAUGUAUAUAUAUAUUUUUAAUUUUUUUAUUUUUUGUUCACACGAACAGCGCCAUUUUGAUGAACUAUAGUAAGACUAAAAUAACUAUUAAAUUUAAAUAUUAGUGUCUAUAAGUAGCAAAAAUUAUUUUUUUGCAAAUUUUUUUUUUCCUUUUUUAUUGUCAAGAACAACACUAUUUUGGUUAACUAUAGUAAGGCUAAAAUAGCUAUUCUUAGAGUUUUUGAGUAGCAAAAGAUUUUUUGCAAAAAUAGGUGUAUGUAUAUUUUAAAUUUUUUUUUCUUUUUUUAAGUCACGAACAACACCAUUUUGGUGAACUAUAGUAAGCUAAAAUAGCUAAUAAAAUCAAAUAUUAGAGUCUUUAAGUAACAAAAUAUUUUUUCCAAAAAAAUUAUAGGAGUAUGUAUAUUUUUUUAAAACUUUUUUUUUCUUUUUGUUCUUACGAACAGUAUCAUUUUUAGUGAACUAUAGUAAGUCUAUAAUAGCUAUUAAAUUCAAAUCUCAGAGUCUUUGAAUAGCAGAAAUUUUUGUGCAAAAAAUUUAUAGGGGUAUGUAUAUAUUUUUAAAAAAUUAUAUUUUUUCUUUUUUGUUGUCACGAACAACAUUAUUUUGGUGAAAUAUAAUAAGGCUAAAAUAGCUAUUAAAUUCAAAUAUUAGGGUGUGUUUGGUUCGCUUCUUUUUCACCCUGGAAUCGGAAUUGGAAUGGGUAAAUCCCUUUGUGGGUGUUUGGUAAGCAGGAGUCUCAUUCCGAUUCCGAUUCCCGAGUGGAAUGGGAAUCCCCCAAUCAUCUCUUUUUUCAAUCCGGCUUAGAAGGCUAGGCCGGAUUGGAAAUUGAAUCCCGACGGAAUGGACAUUUAUUCGGAUUAAAUUUAUUUUUUCAAUUUUUUUAAUUAAAAUAUGAGUUAAAAUUUAAAAAUUAAAUAUAUAAUUUUAAAUUUUAAUUUGAACUUAAAUUAAAAAUUAAAAUUUAAUCAAGUAUUUCGAAUCUAACUUAUUAAUUUGAAUUUAAAUUAAAUUUUAAUUUAUAUAAAGUUUUAUUCAAAUUUUAUUUCAAACUUAAAUUAAAUAUAUGGAUUCAAAUUAAAAUUUAAAUUGUAAUUUUAAGUUUGAAUUUGAAUAAAUCAAAAUUUUAGUUUCAUAUUUUGAAUUAUCCACUUAACUUCAAAGUUUAAUUUUUUUAAACAAAAUAUAUUUAAAAUUUUGACAUUAUUUCAAAAUUUUGAUGUAAAUUUUUAAUAUUUAAUAUUUAAUUUGAAUUUUAAUUAAUAUAUUAUAAAGAUAAUGUUAGUAUAUUAAUUUGAUUACAAUUUUUAUAUUCACCUGAACCAAACACCGAUAAUGGGAAUGAUUUAUUCCGAUUCCGAUUCAGGUGAUAAACCAAACAGAAUUAGGUAAUGAGUCAUUUCGAUUUCGAUUCCUGCUUAUUUUGAUUCCGAUUCCAAUUUCGAUUCCGACUACAAACCAAACAUGCCCUUAAAGUCUUUGACUCAGGCCACUAGCAACAAUAACUCGUUGGGCCCAACCACCAGCCCAAAAUGCUUAAACCCAGUUAUUAUUGUUUGCGUCUAAGUCUCUUAUAUACCUAAUCACAUCUCCAUUCCUAUCCAAUAUGGGAUUAUUGGGGUGUGUCACACACACAGCCCAAGAUCACCAGGCGAUGUGAGACUCGUCUCGCUAACCUUAUCAUCUAAACCCUAGCAUAGCAGGCCACCUUGUCAUUCACACUCCAGCAUAGCCUGCAUAGCCUAUCACUUUGUCUUUCAGACCCUGGCUCAAUCGAAACUCGUCACACAUUUCCGGCUGGUGAACUGGCUCUGAUACCAAAUGUAACGGCUCAGCCCACUAGCAAUAAUAACUCAUUGAGCCCAAACACCGGCCCAAAAUAUUUAAGUGCAGUUAUUAUUACUAGUGUCUAAAUCUCUUAUAUACCCAAUCACAUCCUCAUUGCUAUUCGAUAUGGGAUUAUUGGGGUGUAACAAAUUAGCAAAAAAAAUUUUGCAAAAAAUUUAUAGGAGUAUGUUUUUUUUUUUUUUUUUUUUUUUUUUUUUUUUUUUUUGUCACGAACACCGCCAUCUUGAUGAACUAUAGUAAGGCUAAAAUCGCUAUUAAAUUCAAAUAUUAGAGGCUUUGAAUAGCAAAUUUUGUGCAAAAAAUUUAUAGGGGUAUGUAUAUAUUUUUAAAAAAUUAUAUUUUUCUUUUUUGCUGUCACGAGCAGCAUUAUUUUGGUGAAAUACAGUAAGGCUAAAAUAGCUAUUAAAUUCAAAUAUUAAACUCUUUGAUUAGCAAAAAAUUUUUUGCAAAAAAUUUAUAGGAGUAUGUAUUUUUUAUUUUUUUAUUUUUUGUCACAAACAACGCCAUUUUGAUGAACUAUAUAAGGCUAAAAUCGCUAUUAAAUUCAAAUAUUAGAGGCUUUGAGUAGCAAAAAUUAUUUUUUUGCUGAAUUUUUUUUUCCUUUUUUGUUGUAAAAAACAAUACUAUUUUUGUGAACUAUAGUAGGGCUAAAAUAGCUAUUCUUAGUCUCUUUGAGUAGCAAAAUUUUUUUUGCAAAAAUAGGUGUAUUUAUUUUUUUAAAAAUUACUUUUUUAUUGUCACAAACAGUACCAUUUUGGUUAACUAUAGUAAGACUAAAAUAGCUUUUAAAUUCAAAUAUUAGAGUCUUUGAGUAACAAAAAUUCUUUUGCAAAACAUUUAUCGGAGUAUGUAUAUUUUUUUAAAAAUUUCUUUUUUCCUUUUUAUUGUCCUAUAGUAAGUCUAAAAUAACUAUUAAAUUUAAAUAUUACAGUCAUUGAGUAGCAAAAAUUUUUGUGCAAAAUAUUUAUAGGAGUUUGUAUAUUGUUUUUGAAAUUUUUUUUUUUUUUUUUGUUAUCGGGAGCAACAUCAUUUUGGUGAACUAUAGUAAGGCUCAAAUAGCUAUUAACUUCAAAUAUUAGAGUCUUUGAUUAGCAAAAAAAAUUUUGCAAAAAAUUUAUAGGAGUAUGUAUAUUUUUUAAAAAAAUUAUUUUUUUUCUUUUUUGUUGUUACGAAUAGCAUCAUUUUGGUGAACUAUAGUAAGAUUAAAUAGCUAUUAAAUUCAAAUAUUUGAGUCUUUGAGUAGCAAAAAUUAUUUUUUUGCAAAAUUUUUUUUUCUUUUUUGUUGUCAUGAAUAGCAUCAUUUUGAUGAACUAUUGUAAGGCUAAAACCUAAAAGGGCUAUUAAAUUCAAAUAUUAGAGUCUUUGAGUAGCAAAAAUAUUUUCGCAAAAAAUGUAUAGAAGUAUUUAUAUUUUAAUUUUUUUUUUCCUUUUUUAUUGUCACGAACAACACCAUUUUGAUGAACUAUAAGACUAAAAUAGCUAUUAAAUUUAAAUAUUAGUGUCUUUGAGUAGUACAAAAAAAAAUUAAAAAAAAUUAUAGGAUUUUGUAUGUUUUUUGAAAAAAGAAAAAUUGUAGGAAUGAACCAGUAAUGGACUACAUUUUAUUAUUUUAAUAGACUAAAUCAGAUAUUUUGUUAAAUACAAUAAUGAGUCUACUAAAUUGAUGGUUCUAAGUAGUCUUAUAAACUAAUGGAAUUAGUAAUUGAUUUUUAUCAGCCAAUCACUGCUGUAGUCGUUAAUUAUAAUAAAUUCUCAAAUUACCUUAAAAAAAUAACUUAAAUAAAUAUAACAAAAAUUCUGGAAAAAAAUUUAGAUUGGGGGGCUAAUUAUCAAAUGCAAAAAUAAAUAAAUAAAUAAAUAAAUAAUAAAAAUGAAAACAAAAAAGAGAGCCAAAAAAAAUUAAAAACAGAAACAAAUAUUACAAAGUAAAAUUCAUGGGACCUUUUUUUUUUAAGUGACCCAAACAAAUUAUCAGCACCAACACUACAAAAACCUAUUUCCCUCCCAGAAAUUACUUGUUACAAUCAAAGCUACAGUGAAAAGACCAAAAAAAAAAUCUCAAUAUAUAUAUAUAUAUAUAUAUAUAAAGAAAAAACAAAUUAAACAUCUGCGAAAUCAGAUGCAGAGUCAAUCGAUUCCUCUCUGCGGUGUUCUGACGCCGAAGACUGAACGUCUGACGGACUCUUCCUAUGAUGCUUUCGGAUUUGGCUUUCUUUGAUGACGCGGGAGAGUGCUUGGACGACAUCGCGCAUUGAAGGCCGUUUCCGUGAAACUUUACUCACACAUUUGUAUGCGACUGCUGCAAUGUCGUUGAGCUCGUCGACAUCGAAUGCACCGUCCAGUCGGGAAUCCACGAUUUCCUCCCACCCGACUUGUCCAUCGGCAUUUAUUGCAGCCUAGUUUCACAGGUUACCAUCAGCAAACAGUUCCGUAUAUUGAAAUGUCGGAUUCAUUUCAAGCUUAGCUCCUGAAGUUUUGACCUUUAUUUCGCCAUCGACAUUAUAGCUUCAAUUGUAACAAUCUAGUCCCUGAUAACAGUUAAGUCCUAUUAAUCUAUCAUCUUAAAAGUGUGCCAAAUCAGGACUACAUUUGUUAAAUUUUGUGUUAUAGGAGCAAAACUAAAAUAUGGUCGAAGUUCGGAGCAAACUUUUAAAGUGAAAGAUUGUGGACUAAAUUGAAAUCAAAUCAAACUUCAGAGAUAAGAUUGUUACAACUGCAACUCGAAGUCGAAAUUGAAUUUUGGAUCAAACUUCAAGGACCGAACACUUGUAAUCAGACUUCUCUCGAAAAAAAAAAAAAAAAACACUUGUAAUCAGACAAGUUGAGAGCUACGAUGAUUGCAGGAACAAGACUUGUUUAGUGAAUUAUGAGAUUUUGUGGAUUUAUAGAAUGGAUUUAUAGAAAGCCAGUUCAUGAUAAUUCAGUUUUGUGAUCAGUUUUACGUGGAAGAACGAGUUAUUGUUGCGACUUAAAGUUAAUCAUCCUGAAUGGCAAUCUAAUUAAAAAUAAACCAAGCGAGAUGCGCUCGUUUGAAUAAUAAGUUUUCUCCUUUCAACCAUAUCGUAAGCUCCUAAACAAGUAGUACUAAACGUUUUCUAACCAACUUUCAACAUGCUAAAUUGCCCUUCUUUUACCAAGUUCCAUACCACUAAUAUAAAUUGCUAGCUAAAAAGAUAAACUGAAUAGAUAAAAGUAAAAAAAAUGAAAAUGUGAAGGGAAGAAGUUCUUACCAGCUCGACAUAUUCCAUGAGACCCUGUUGUGGGUUUCUACCAGCAAUCAAUUCGAAAAGCAAAACGCCGUAGCUGUACACAUCACUCUUCUUUGUGAAUGACCUUGAUGAUACAUACUCGGGGUCGAGAUAGCCAUAAGUCCCCCUAAUAUUAGAUGCACCACGAGUAACCAUUUCCUCUCUCGAUAGGCCAAAGUCAGCAACCUAAGCCAUAGAUAAAAAAAUAUAUAUUCUCAUUACAUAAAAUAAAUCUUGCUGAGAAAGAGAUGAUAAUUAUCAACAACAUUACUCGAGAGAAAAAAAAAAAAAAAAGGAUAACAGAUGAAACAGAAAAAAGAAAAAUAUAUUGCAUUUCAUUCUGUUUAUGGGAAAGGAGGAAUGGUAAACAGAAUGUCAUUGACGCAUAAUUUAUCAUUGCAAUUCAGUAAGACAAAACAAUAAAUGAGUAAUCAUUCCACAAAUUAUGAGAUAAUUGAUUUAGAAUAUGUAGGUUUGGCAUUGUCUGAACUCAUACUGCAAAAUCCUGAUAAAACAAUUCUAGUACCCUACUGCCAUUGAUACUUUUAGCAUGCAAAACAAUCAAAAAAAAAAAGUGAAACAUUUUUUUUGCAGUGAAGUUCUAAGGAGAAAUGAUAACUUCUUUGAGCCAAUUAUCUGAUACUAGAAAGGGUGAAAGGGUAACAUACUCUAGCUCUCAUGGAAUGAUCCAACAAUAUAUUUGCAGAUUUGAUGUCACGAUGCACUACUGGUGGGGUAGCCUGCAUUAAAGGAUAAGACAACAAACAGAAAUUAAAUUAAAUUAAAUUGAAAGAACUACAUUAAGUUAGACUGACCAAAUAAGCAAUAUGAGAUCUUACUCCAUCAUGAAGGUACUCCAAACCUCUUGCGACAUCCAGAGCUAUACGGACCCUCAGAUCCCAGCUCAACGGUUUACGAUUUUCACCUGAAUCAUUAAUACAUAUGUCAGUGACACAAUAAAGAACAAAAGCCUAGUUCUAGAAUUCACUCAUCUGCUAUAUACCUUGAGACGCCAUCAUUCAUUCAUAAAUUAUCUAUUACAGAUUGUUGAUUCUAUUGCAGAUCUGUUAUCACUCUUAGGGCUUGUUUGGUUCAAGGGUGGAAUUGAAAUGGAUAAUGGAAUGGGAAUGAAUUAGAAUGGUAAUUGAAAUGGCCCACUGCCCCAAGACGUUUGGUUUAUUUGUGGAUUAGGAAUUGGAAUGAGUUAUUCACAUUUCAUUGUUUGGUUCGUAUAAACUAAAAAAAUUAUAGGAUACUAUAAUACUAAUUUUACUCUCAAAUAUAAAUUUAUAUUAUUUAAAAUUUAUGAAAAAUAUAAUACUAUUCUCUAAUAAGUUUUCCAAAAAAAAUAUCAAAUUUAUUUUUAAAAACUUUUAUUGAUGUGGGUUAGGAAUAGGAUUUUGAGAGAUGAUAGGUUUUUUUUUUUAUUUUUUUUCUGAUGAGAAAAGGGUGAAGAGAAGGAAGGUGAGAUGGUCACAUGGGCUUCGAGAACUUAGUGGGCUUCCGGAAUGAAAUCUCAAUCCAGGCUAGAAGACCGGAAUCAAGUUGAAGGCUAAUCGGCCAUUUCCAUUCCAGUUCGGAAUAAGAAUCCCAAACCGAUUCAUGCAAACCAAACAAAAUUAACCGGAUUUGAUCAAACCGAUUCCCAUUCCAUACCCAAAAUGGAUGAACCAAACAAGCCCUUAAUGUCAAAAUACAGAAGAAAUACAAGCCGCCUUGUCAAACAUUUAGCGCUCUCUCUCUCUCUCUCUCUCUCUCUCUCUCUCUCUCUCUCUCUUUCAAAUAUGUUUGUCUGAGACAUACAGUCAAAUCUUUGCAAGAUGCAGUACAGUGUUCAACAUAACAUUCAGAUAUAAAAAAAUGAAAAAGAAAAAAAAAAUGCAACCAACACAUACCAUACAAGUGAGAAGCAAGGCUCCCAUUAGUCAUGUAGACAUAUAAUAGAAUAUGUUGCCCUUUUUCAGCACAAUAGCCCACCAAAUUUACAAGAUUCCUGUGAUGUAAUCUUCCCAGAAGUAGGACCCAAAAAAAACCAAGAAUAUUUAUAGAGAAGACUCGCAAAAAUUUAAACCUAGCUAAAUAGAUACUUAAAAUUAAGGUUUAAUGCAAUAAACCUCCGUUUGGAACUCUUUCUCGCCUUGCUUAGAAUUAUUGGCAAGCACUUUAACUGCCAGUAUCUCGCCAGUAGACAAGUGAGCGUUAUAAACUGAACCAAAUGCUCCUUGACCGAUCAGCGUCGUAAAAUUGCUGGUUGCUUUCUGCAAAUCCCUGAUAGUGAAGACUCAUUAAUGAUGCAGAUUGCCGGUUCGAGAACUCAAACCAGAACGAGAUAAAGUUAAGAAUCACAUAAAAAAAGGUAUAGGAGUGUAGUAGUUUAGUAACGAUCAGAUUUUAGAAUAUAACCAAGCAACUUGAAAUCAGAUUAUGAAUACUAAAGCAUUAUCCUCCAAUUAAUAUAUUGUCUGACUGUCCCAAAAGUGUUACGUAAUAAACAGAGAAGAAUCAUCAGAUAUCUUCGAAGAUAUCCGACAAACACAAAUUUUCUGGUUUCUCCAUUUUCCUUGAAUACUUGUUCCCUUUUUUUUUCCCCUGACUGCAGCCGCUAAACCAUGUUUCUCUAAUCCUUCUCUAAAUAUUCUAAUGGUCUUACAUAUGGAAAAAGCUGGAUAUGCUAACCAAUAAAGUAUGAUUUCUCGAACCAGGUAGACAAUAAACUGAGUUUGGCUGAUAUGCUAAGACUUCAGAAAAUGGAGAAAAACUUGUAAAUAGAAAAGGUUACCUUGAAAUUGUAAAGAAAGCUAUAACAGCAUAAGCAAUCAAUAAAUAUAAACUUAACUAAUGUAAUAUAGCAAGAACAGGCGAAAUUGCCGAUCAUACUUAUACGAAUAUUUGGGUAUCCCAGAAACUGAGACUGCAUUCUUCCUCUUGGGUCCUUCGAGAAAAAGAGACGAUCCCCGUUCUUCGUCAGCAACCCUCGGCGAAUCUGGACGGUUGGUUGAGCCCGAAACCUCCGAACAGUUAUCGAAGCCAUUAGCGCGAAUCGGAAUCAUCGAAGCCCUCCGCGCGCUGCUACUCCCAAUCUGCUGCCGCCUUUUAUGGAAGCUAAUGCAGAGCACUGCAAUGAUAGCCAAAAGUACCCCUAUAACUACCCCAAUUGUGACCCCUAUGAUCAAACUCCAUGACACUCCUUUCAUUUCCUUAAUGAACCCUCAAUUGUAGCAUUUAUGUAGUAUUUGUAUCCACCCCAUUAAAAUCCCUGCACAAAUAGAACCACAACCUGAUUUAAUAAGCCAAAACAGUGACCUUGCAACCUUUUUUUUUUUUGGUUUUUUGGUCUAUUUUGAACGGAUUAGAAGUGUAGAGACCACAAAUUUGGAUCUUUAGUACAAAAGGGUCGAGCUGUAGUUCACAACAAAAAAAUCGCAGUUCAUGACAAUGACACCAAUUUGUCAUUUUGAAAACAACGUGAUGGAUAUCACCCUUCGUAACAACGCAUUACCGUGCCUUCUCAGAUCAAAGAUCGUAUAUUUAACUAAAAAUAAGUACAAUUCAGUAGCUUCUUUUCGCAUCAACACCAUCAAAAUCUCAAGUUUCAGCAGUUUCAACUUAAAAUUGGGACAAAUUACAGCACACAAUCAUAAAUUCCGUCGUUAAAAUAGAGUGAUAUAACGCCACAAGCAAUAGUAAAAAACCAAAAAAAAAAAAAAAAAANACAAAAUCAAAUGAAGAACAUAGAACUCGACGAUCCACAAAUAGGCGACCUCAACUGGAAGUUGCGAUCCCCGAAAAUGGGAGACGAAACGCUUCCCAAAAACCCUAAAAUUCAGUAACCGAAACUCCGAAUUAAACAAAUUUAAAGCGACUCCACGAAAAAAUAGGAGGGAUCAAAAACAAGGACAAAAUCCAGCGAUGUGGAUAUCCCACCUCUUCGAUUCCAAAACGCAAUGGCGAAUGCGAUGGAUCUUUUUCUCUUUUUCUCUUUUUCCCCCCUCUUUUUCGCGAAAUAUCUGAGUAGUCGCAUUGUGUAUAGAGGAGUGGGGGACGAAGACGACGACUUAACUAUUUUAUAAAAUAGAAAAAUUGGAGGGGUGAAAGUGAAAAAAAUAAAUAAAUAAAUCGAAACGUGAGCUUGGGUGAACGGGUUUUAAAUUAUGAUUUGACGAAAAUACCCCCGCCACCGACGCUCGUUUGGGAUUUGUUGACUCGGAAUGUCGGGGGUAGGCGAGGUCAAUUUGCGGCCGUGGCGGCAACUCGAAAAAACAGUUACAGGGACUGAAAAAAAAAAUAGGAAUAAUAAUUAAUAAUUAAUUAAUUGCAUCAUUUAUUUCCACCAUAUCCCUAUAUUUUUUUUAUACCGAUUUUUUCAAUUUCACAGCUAAUAUUGUCCCCUAUUUUAAUUAAAUUCUUUUUAUUAAAAUCAAAAAUAUAUAUUAAUCUUGACAAAAAUCGUCCUCUGUUCUGAUACUGAUAUAACAAGCAUAAUUAAUUUUAUGAUAACAUAAGUGGUAUGAUAGUUUUUGUUAGAUUAGAAUUAACAGUAUAUCCGAUAAAUAAAGUUAAUUUAUAUUUUUUAAAUCAGGUUCUCCGAGAUUUUAUGGUCAGAUUCCAUAUCGGGAUCAUUUAAGUACCCUCCAAAGCUCCAGCUUAAACGAUAGACGUUCAAAAUCGUAGUAUUCUUUCAUGCAAAAAAAAAGAAAAAAAUAUAUAUAUAUAUCUAUAUAUGUUAUAGAUCAUNNNNNNNNNNNNNNNNNNNNNNNNNNNNNNNNNNNNNNNNNNNNNNNNNNNNNNNNNNNNNNNNNNNNNNNNNNNNNNNNNNNNNNNNNNNNNNNNNNNNNNNNNNNNNNNNNNNNNNNNNNNNNNNNNNNNNNNNNNNNNNNNNNNNNNNNNNNNNNNNNNNNNNNNNNNNNNNNNNNNNNNNNNNNNNNNNNNNNNNNNNNNNNNNNNNNNNNNNNNNNNNNNNNNNNNNNNNNNNNNNNNNNNNNNNNNNNNNNNNNNNNNNNNNNNNNNNNNNNNNNNNNNNNNNNNNNNNNNNNNNNNNNNNNNNNNNNNNNNNNNNNNNNNNNNNNNNNNNNNNNNNNNNNNNNNNNNNNNNNNNNNNNNNNNNNNNNNNNNNNNNNNNNNNNNNNNNNNNNNNNNNNNNNNNNNNNNNNNNNNNNNNNNNNNNNNNNNNNNNNNNNNNNNNNNNNNNNNNNNNNNNNNNNNNNNNNNNNNNNNNNNNNNNNNNNNNNNNNNNNNNNNNNNNNNNNNNNNNNNNNNNNNNNNNNNNNNNNNNNNNNNNNNNNNNNNNNNNNNNNNNNNNNNNNNNNNNNNNNNNNNNNNNNNNNNNNNNNNNNNNNNNNNNNNNNNNNNNNNNNNNNNNNNNNNNNNNNNNNNNNNNNNNNNNNNNNNNNNNNNNNNNNNNNNNNNNNNNNNNNNNNNNNNNNNNNNNNNNNNNNNNNNNNNNNNNNNNNNNNNNNNNNNNNNNNNNNNNNNNNNNNNNNNNNNNNNNNNNNNNNNNNNNNNNNNNNNNNNNNNNNNNNNNNNNNNNNNNNNNNNNNNNNNNNNNNNNNNNNNNNNNNNNNNNNNNNNNNNNNNNNNNNNNNNNNNNNNNNNNNNNNNNNNNNNNNNNNNNNNNNNNNNNNNNNNNNNNNNNNNNNNNNNNNNNNNNNNNNNNNNNNNNNNNNNNNNNNNNNNNNNNNNNNNNNNNNNNNNNNNNNNNNNNNNNNNNNNNNNNNNNNNNNNNNNNNNNNNNNNNNNNNNNNNNNNNNNNNNNNNNNNNNNNNNNNNNNNNNNNNNNNNNNNNNNNNNNNNNNNNNNNNNNNNNNNNNNNNNNNNNNNNNNNNNNNNNNNNNNNNNNNNNNNNNNNNNNNNNNNNNNNNNNNNNNNNNNNNNNNNNNNNNNNNNNNNNNNNNNNNNNNNNNNNNNNNNNNNNNNNNNNNNNNNNNNNNNNNNNNNNNNNNNNNNNNNNNNNNNNNNNNNNNNNNNNNNNNNNNNNNNNNNNNNNNNNNNNNNNNNNNNNNNNNNNNNNNNNNNNNNNNNNNNNNNNNNNNNNNNNNNNNNNNNNNNNNNNNNNNNNNNNNNNNNNNNNNNNNNNNNNNNNNNNNNNNNNUAUAAAUUAAUUUAAAAAAACUAGAUAAAAUAUUAUAAUAAAUUAAAGUUUGAUGACUUAAAAUAUUCACAACUAUCACUAUUUGAGACAAAAGGGCGUAAUUUUAUUCGGAUUAAUAUACAACGCCGGGCUGUCUGUGAUUUGUAAAAUUAUAUUAUUUAUCUAUGUAUUUAUCUGUUAGUACUUUAAAUUACAGGGACAAAUGAGUUACUAACAUUGCUUCCAAUUUAUCUCUACCAAAUCUAGGGAUGGUUGGUUGAUUUAGGUGACCAGUUUUUCGGUGAUUUAACUAGGACUUAUUAAUUUCACUUCUUGCUAGUCAACAUAAAUUAGGAUGAUAAUUAAUAGAUUAAGGAAAUCAAUGUGUGGACAUUUCAAUGUUUUCACCGGAUAAUGUGGGAGAUUGUUAUGAAUUUAUGAGUGAUGGAAUAUGUAAAUAAUAAUCGGAGUUAAAGUAAUUUUGAAAUUAAUAGUUUUGGACCAUAAGUUAUUAUUGUAGUGGGUCGGAUAUACAAAUAGUUAUAUUGGAAAAGGUAUUGAAAAAAAAAAUCCCCUCAAAAAAUUGGUUGCUGAUUAUAUUCAUAUUAUUUUUAAUUUUGUUUUGUGUUGUUAAGUAAUUAAGACUGAGAUGAAGGAUGUAGCAAACUACUGUAUACUCCUACACUUUAAAUAUUUAAAUUCUAUUUAAAAAAUAUAGAAAAAAAUUUUUGAUACAAUGAGAGUUUCAUUCUAUGCUAAACUGGCAUUUCCCAUACAUUAAGGUUUCGUUUAGGUUAUGAAUAUUUGUACGAUAAAAAACUCAAUAGAAAAAUAUUUUAUUGUUUUCAUAGUAAGUUUAUUGCGUUUUAAUUAUUCGGGUAGUCGGCUAUGAUAUAGUUUUCUGCGUCCAUGGAAGAACGCAAAAUUAUAUUUUAUAAUAUUUUUUAUCCAACUUCUUCUAUCUGUAGUAUUUAGAUUGACUCUAAUACCGGCCUAACUAUAAUCAAUUUAUUAUCAAACAUUAUUAAUCACACUUAAUUAAUUUUGUACAAAGUGGGAGAAAAGUUACAGGAAAGAAAUUUUAUAUCCACAGAAUUUAUCUUCUUCUCUCAUCCAUCCUUUUUUCCUUUUUCUUUUUUUUUUUUUAUUUAAGUUUGCUUCAAUCCCAUUUCCCCUAAUAAUAUUCUGCUCCCAGAUGCAACUAUAAUUAGAACAGAAAGGCCGUAGGGGUAAAUGCUGGAGAUAUUGUAGUCACUUCAAGUUGCCUGCAUAAACAAAUUAGUCAAAGUUACUUACAUGGACUUCAAUGCAAAAUCCUAAGUUCAAUUCUUGGUAUUACUUGGUUUAAAUCUCCAUUGACAACAUCUAUAAAACCAUAAAUUAAAAAGGGAGGAGAGCACGCAUCAUGAUGUUUCUAUCUAGAAUCUGCUUUAACUAUUUAGUUAAAAUAAUAAUAUACAUCAUCCUCAUAUUACACACACACACACACAUAUAUAAAGAGAGAGAGUUGAGCUAAAAUGCUAUCGAUAGCAAACGGGUUUCGUUGUCAUUCAUUUGUUUCCGAUAAUACAGCCUCCAAAUUAACGAUCAGCAUCAUUGAAUAUGAUCUAUAUCACUUAAAGUAUAUAGAAAUCAAAUUUCAAAUCUUUUUAAUAUCAAUAACCUAAUGAUUAAAGGGUUUCAAAAUUUACAAUUUUAAUGGUCGAUAUGAAGCGUUUUCUUAUUUAAUGGUGUAAAGAUAUCCAAAUCAAUUGAAUUUUGGUUAAAAAAUUCUUUAAACUAUUUAAAACAAGAUCUAUACUCUCGAUCUUGAUUACAAGAUUCCUAUCACCACUUUUUAAAUAAUAUUCAUUUUCAAUUUUGUGUUCACUUGAUGGACAAGAGAACAAUAUCAGAAAAGCGUGAAACUUGAUUUCUAAAUGCUUCAAGUGGUAUAGAUAAUGUUCAAAGUGUCGAUCGUCGAUGUGAAAGCUCUAUCAUCGAAAAUAUGUGGAUGGCACCGAAAUCCGUUUGCUAGCAAUANUUAUGGUCAGAUUCCAUAUCGGGAUCAUUUAAGUACCCUCCAAAGCUCCAGCUUAAACGAUAGACGUUCAAAAUCGUAGUAUUCUUUCAUGCAAAAAACAAUAAAAAAAAAAAAAAAAAAAAAAAAAAAAAGUGUGUGAUAUAAUUGAUUAUAGUUAGGCGGUAUUGACGUCAAUCUAAUACUAUUAGAUAGAAUGAAGUUGAGAAAAAAUAUAUAGAAAUAUAAUUUUGCAUUCUCCGAUGGACCACAGAAAAUAUAUCAUAACCGACUACCCGCAAUAUGUAAAACGUAAUAUUACGUAUGAAAACAAAUAAAAUAUUUUUCUAUUAUCAUUUUUUACCGUAACAUAAUUUUUUCGCAAUUCCAAACGAAACCUUCAUGUGAUGGGAAUGCCAGUGUUAGCAUAGAAAUGAAACUCUCAUUUGGUAUCAAACUUUUUUUUAUAUUUUUAAAUAGAAUUUUAAAUAUUUAAAAGUGUAGGAGUAUACAGUAGUUUGCUUACAAUCCUUCAUCUCAGGUCUUAAUUACUUAACAACACAAAACAAAAUUUAAAAAUAAUAUUGGAAUAUAAUCAGCACCAAUUUUUUGAGGGGAUUUUUUUUUUUUCAAUACCUCUUCCAAUAAUAUACUAUUUGUAAUAAUCCGACCCACUAGCAAUAAUAACUUAUUGGUCCAAACUAUUGAUUCAAAAUACUUAAGUCCGAUUAUUAUUACUAGUAUGUCCAUCAUUCAUAAAUUCAUAACGCUCUCCCACAUUAUCCGAUGUGGAAUUAUUAGGAUGUCACUAUUGUAUUCUCUAAUCUAUUAACUAUCAAUUCCUAAUUUAUUGUUGACUAGGCAAGAAGUAGAUAAUUAAUUAAGUCCUAGUUAAAUCAGCAAAAAACUGGUCACCUAAAUCAACCACCAAUCCUAGAUUUGGUAGAUGAUAAAUUGGAGAGGCAAUGUUUAGGGUAUUUUCAUUUGUCCUGUAACUUUAAAGCACUACAGAUAAAUAGCAUAGUAAAUAAUAUAUUUUACAAAUCACAAGACAGCUCGACGUUGUAUAUUAUCAUCCGAGUAAAUUACGCUUUUGGUCCUCAAAUAGUGAUAGUUGUGAUAUUUUAGUCAUCAAACUUUAAUUUAUUACAAUAUUUAUCUAGUUUUUUAAAAUUAUUGUAAUUAAAUUCUACAUUCUAAUUUAAUUAUUUGAAUUUGGCUUGUAGUUGAUGUGACAGUAAUAUGAUUAUAUUAUAGUUUGACGGCACGGCACCAUGUUAUUAUUUAAUUAAAUCAACGGGUUAUCAAGUAUAUAUAUAUAAUGGGGCUACUAUGCUUCUGGAAACACGGAGACUUCCGUGCUUCCAGGUCGUUUUUGAUGUUGCAACUUUCGAAUCGUCGAUCGGCUCCAUUAAACUUGAUUUAAAGUAUUUGAAGUACCUAGAAAAUAAAUUUUGUAAUUUUUCGAUAUCAUUUGCCUAAUGAACAAAGGGGCUCAAAAUCAACGGCUAAGAAUAAAAGUCUUACAAAACGUGACAAUAUGACAUUAAAAUUUUAGAUCAAAGAUAUUGAUCUUAUUUUAUAUAGUAUAAAGAAUUUUCUAUCAAAAUUUUACGUAAUUUGGAUAUUUCUACACCGUUAAACUUGCAAACGGCUCACUACGGUCAUUAAAAUUAUUUGAUUUUGAGCCCCUUCGAUCACUAGGCAAAUGAUAUUGAAAAAUCAUAAAAUUUAUUUUCUAAGUACUUCAAAUACUCUAGAUCAAAUUUAACAGAGCCGAUCGACGAUUCGAAAGUCGAAACAUCGAAAACGACCUGGAAGGACAGAAGGCUCCGUGCUUUCAGAAGUAUAGUAGCCUCACUCAUAUAUAUAUAUAUAUAUAGUAGGGCUACUAUACUCUUAUGAGUAUAGUGCCCUUCGCACUUAUAAGUUAUUUUCGAUAAUAGAACUUCCGAAUCUACGAUUCACUCCGUUAAAUAUGAUCUAAAGUAUUCGAAACUUCUAAAAAAUAAAUUUAAUAAUUUUUCGAAACAUAAUAAAAUCAAUCGAGCGAGCAUAAAAUGAACGGUUGAAAUCGAACGACGUCCUAAAAAUAAUGAUCGGAUCCUUCAAUUUAAGAUCAGAAUUAUUGAUCUUUUUCUAGAUAGUGAAUAAAAUUCUCUAUCAAAAAUUCAAUCUAUUCUAUUUUUUUACACCAGUAAAUUAGUAAGUAUUCUAUACCGGCCGUUAAAAAUUAUAAAUUUUGCAACCUUUUAAUUAUAAGAUAAAUAAUAUCAAAAAAUUAUGAAAUUUAAUUUCUAAAAAUUUUUAAUACACUUAAUAAUGUUUAACGAUAUUGAUCGUCUAUUCAGAAACUCUACCAUCGAAAAUAAUUUAUAAAUACGAGGACCAUCAUACUUAGGCGAACUCUAUAUAUAUACACACNNNNNNNNNNNNNNNNNNNNNNNNNNNNNNNNNNNNNNNNNNNNNNNNNNNNNNNNNNNNNNNNNNNNNNNNNNNNNNNNNNNNNNNNNNNNNNNNNNNNNNNNNGUAGGCCCCCGCCCUCCUACGGCGGCGCCGCCGCACUCCGCCCUCCCCGGGAGCGGGCCGCUCCUUCUCCUGCGGCCCCCGCCGCUCCGACGCCGCCUCCUCCGGCCGCGCCGCUCGCCACCCGCACGAAACCCACUCCGCCAAAAGCCUCAUCAAGUACGAAAACACUAUCUCUCUCUCCCUCUCCCUCUCCCUCUCCCUCUCUCUCUCCUUGCUUCGAAUUGGGACCUAUUAGGGUUAGGGUUAGGGUUUGGCGCAGGGUUUCGCACUUGCCGAGUCCUUUUUUUUUAUUUAAUUUACGAGAACGCCACUUUGGACUCCGACGAGGCGGCGAGUGUGUGCUCGUUCGCUCUGCAUAGGGAGCCACUUAAAUAGAGCGACGCGGCGAUGAUGCGUUUGCCGAUAAUGCCCUCGCCUCGAUGCGACACCUGCAGGGUUAUUUUCGGAAAGUUAAUGUGAUUCGUUGGAUUUUUUUUGAGGACGCAUUUAAUUGGAUGCCCCGCCGUUCACGCCACGUGUGAUUAGAUUGGACGGUCGGUGUUUCUCUUUCUUUCGAUUUGAUCACCCUUUAACGUUGUGAGAUACUAUUUAUUUCUCGAGUGACAUUAUUAAUUAUAAUAAUUAAUUUAUAUUUUUUGUUUGAAAUUUUGAUUAUACAUUUUUAAAAUUUUUUAUUUUAACAACCUAGAUUUUAAAUUUAAGCUUUGAGGGACAAUUGAGAUCUUUCAUUAGCUUAUUACUCAAUAACCUACUAUGUAUUUGGUAUUUUAUCAAUUUAAAACUAAUACUAAUAUGUGUUAAUAAAAUUAUCUAUUUAAGUUUUCUCUUAAGGAGUUUGAUGCGAGCAUGGCAUGUUUAUCCAACGAUAUUAUAAAAUUACCGUUGUUUUUCAAAAGCUUGAGCGGCUAGAAAACGGUGUGCCUUUAAUAUUCAUGUAUAAACUCGAAUUUUUAGCAAAGCCGAAGUUGUGAACUUGAAAUAAAUAAAAGUAAAUUAAAUAAUACUAUAAGUCCAAUAAAACUCGAAUUCAGAACCUCCUAUUCUGAUAUCAUAUAUAUAUAUAUAGAGAGAGAGAGAGAGUGGGCUGGUAUGCUUCUAAAAGUACGGAACUCUCCGUGCUUCCAAGUUGUUUUCGAUGUUCGGACUUUCAAAUCGACGAUCGGCUCCGUUAGAGUUGAUCUAUAGUAUUUGAAGUACCUAGAAAAUAAAUUUUGUGAUUUUUCAAUAUUAUUUGCCUAGUGAUCGAAGGGGCUCAAAAUUAAUAAUUUUAAUGGCCGUAGUGAGCCGUUUGCAAGUUUAACAGUGUAGAAAUAUCCAAAUCACAUGAAAUUUUGAUAGAAAAUUCUAUUCACUACAUAGAUAAAGAUCAAUAACUCCGAUCUUGCAUUGAAGGAUCCGAUCAUGCUUUUUAGGAUGUCGUUCGAUUUUGACCGUUCAUUUUAUGCUCACUUGAUGGACUUUAUUAUGAUUUGAAAAAUUUACGAAAUUUAUUUUCUAAAACUUUCAAAUACUCUAGAUCAUAUUUAACGGAGUGAAUCGUCGAUUCGGAAGCUCCAUCAUCAAAACGAGUUCGUGUCCGGGUUUGAAACUUGACUAGACAAUGAGGACUUGUACAAUUGACACUAUUAAGUGAAUAAAAAGCCAAAGUUAAGCUUCCUGUUAAACUUGAUUUAGCAUAUGGUCUAAUUGACGUUCAAUAUAAAUAAUCAGCUUGUUCGUGAUUUCGCGUUGCAAUAAUUCAAUAUUUUAUAGACCGUAUUUUAUCUGAUUAAUCUUUUCAGUAAUACAGUGUAAGAAUGGGAAGUUCGAGGUCCACCUCAAUUAUAAAUGAAAAUUACUAUUCUUACAAACAAUAUAUUUUUUUAAUCAAUUAAAUAGGAUCGCAUAAAUAAAUGUCGUACUUGUUUUGUCAUUAUAAAAAAGAAAAAAGAAAAAAGAAAUUAAAGAGGUGUGGUAAUGGAGUAUACGUCGUAGCAUCUAAACUAGAGCACUAGCUUUGGACAAAUGGCGUGUGAUUGAGAGAGGUUAAGUCCCCUACGUUGUUACAUGUGGACGAGGAUAUUUGUAUUAUUAUAUAUAUAUAAUAAUAAUAAUAAUAAUAAUAAUAAUUAUACUGUACGACGACGUGUCACGCUAAUUAAUUUCGACCGCGAUGGCAUUUCCGUUAUUGUUCCCACAUCCAGGGGCAUAAAUAUAAGACCAAAAAUUAACUCGAGAGAGUGGAAGCGAGCGAGAGGGAGAGAGAGAGAGAGAGAGAGAGAGAGAGAGCGCGCGAACCUGAACUCGCCGGUGCGAGCGCGGGGCGAAACCCUACCUGAGGAUCCGGCGCUGAUGAGCUUCGUCGCAGGGCCCGCGGCGGCUGCGGCGGCGUCGGCGAGUGGCGCCGCCUCCGUAGCGGCGUUCUCUUCGUAGAUGUCCCCGAGCGAGGGCCUCCAAGGAUCGGCCGCGCCGCCGCCGCCGCCGCCGCCACCGCCGUAGGCCGCCGCCCUCCUACGGCGGCGCCGCCGCACUACGCCCUCUCCGGGAGAGGGCCGCUCCUUCUCCUGCGGCCCCCGCCGCUCCGACGCCGCCUCCUCCGGCCGCGCCGCUCGCCACCCGCACGAAACCCACUCCGCCAAAAGCCUCAUCAAGUACGAAAACACUAUCUCUCUCUCCCUCUCCCUCUCCCUCUCCCUCUCUCUCUCCUUGCUUCGAAUUGGGACCUAUUAGGGUUAGGGUUAGGGUUUGGCGCAGGGUUUCGCACUUGCCGAGUCCUUUUUUUUUAUUUAAUUUACGAGAACGCCACUUUGGACUCCGACGAGGCGGCGAGUGUGUGCUCGUUCGCUUUGCAUAGGGAGCCACUUAUAUAGAGCGACGCGGCGAUGAUGCGUUUGACGAUAAUGCCCUCGCCUCGAUGCUACACCUGCAGGGGUAUUUUCGGAAAGUUAAUGUGAUUCGUUGGAUUUUUUUUGAGGACGCAUUUAAUUGGAUGCCCCGCCGUUCACGCCACGUGUGAUUAGAUUGGACGGUCGGUGUUUCUCUUUCUUUCGAUUUGAUCACCCUUUAACGUUGUGAGAUACUAUUUAUUUCUCGAGUGACAUUAUUAAUUAUAAUAAUUAAUUUAUAUUUUUUGUUUGAAAUUUUGAUUAUACAUUUUUAAAAUUUUUUAUUUUAACAAUCUAGAUUUUAAAUUUAAGCUUUGAGGGACAAUUGAGAUCUUUCAUUAGCUUAUUACUCAAUAACCUACUAUGUAUUUGGUAUUUAUCAAUUUAAAACUAAUACUAAUAUUGUUAAUAAAAUUAUCUAUUAAGUUUUCUCUUAAGGAGUUUGAUGCGAGCAUGCAUGUUUAUCCAACGAUAUUAUAAAAUUACCGUUGUUUUUCAAAAGCUUGAGCGGCUAGAAAACGGUGUGCCUUUAAUAUUCAUGUAUAAACUCGAAUUUUUAGCAAAGCGAAGUUGUGAACUUGAAAUAAAUAAAAUAAAUUAAAUAAUACUAUAGUCCAAUAAAACUCGAAUUCAGAACCUCUAUUUCUGAUAUCAUAUAUAUAUAUAUAGAGAGAGAGAGAGUGGGCUGGUAUGCUUCUAAAAGUACGGAACUCUCCGUGCUUCCAAGUUGUUUUCGAUGUUCCGACUUUCAAAUCGACGAUCGCUCCGUUAGAGUUGAUCUAUAGUAUUGAAGUACCUAGAAAAAAAUUUUGUGAUUUUCAAUAUUAUUUGCCUGUGAUCGAAGGGCUCAAAAUUAAUAAUUUUAAUGGCAUGAGCCGUUUGCCAAGUUUAACAGUGUAGAAAUAUCCAAAUCACAUGAAAUUUUGAUAGAAAAUUCUUUAUACCAUAUAAAACAAAAUCAAUAACUUUGAUCUAAAAUUUUAAUGUCAUAUCAUCAUAUUUUGUAAGAUUUUUAUUUUCAGCCGUUGAUUUUAAGCCACUUGAUCACUAGACAAAUGAUAUCGAAAAAUCGCAAAAUUUAUUUUCUAGAUACGAUCGACUUCGUACUCAUAAAUCAUUUUAGAUGAUAGGAAUUUCGAAUCAAUGAUCGGAAUCAUUAAAGUUGAUAUAGAGUAUUUAAAGUGUUUAGAAAAUAAAUUUUAUAAAUUUUAUAAAUUAUUUAUGUAGUUAUCAAAGAAUUACAAAAUUGAUAAUUUUUUACAGUGUAAAUCGUUUUGCUUGUUUAACAGUGUAAAAUAAUACAAACAGCUCAAAUUUUUGCUAGAAAAUUUUUUAUAUUAUUUAAAUAAUAUUUGAUAACUCUGAUCAUGAAUUGAAAAUGUCUAACAUCUAUUUUCACAAGAUACCGGUCAUUUGUCGACUAUUCAAUGAACUUGAUAACGAAUUUUAAAAUUUAUGAAAUUUAGUUUCUAGACGUUAUAAAUAUUUUAAAUCAACUUUAACAGUUCCGAUCAUCGAUUCGAUAUUUCUAUCAUCUAAAACGACUUAGGAGGCAAAGGCAUCUGUCCUCCUAAAAGAAUAAUUACUGGACUCUAUAUUUCUAUACUAUAUAUAAAGGCACGUAUUUCAAAUUUGGGUCUAUCGAUAGACUCAUUUUUUAGCGGGAAAAAAUAUUGUUUUCUCUUUCCUUACAUAAAAUAAAUAACGUAAUGAAACAAACUUUUAACUUCUAUUUAUCUCUAAAAUAGAAAAAAAAUAUACUUAUCCAAAUUUUUGCCAACCGAAAGAUAUUUACUGUGAAUCUAUAUUUUAAUUAAAAUUUAAUUUAAUUUUUUUAUCUCUAAAAUAGAAAAAAAAAAUCAUGCUUAUCCAAAUUUUUGCCAGAAUAUCUACUGUAAAUCUAUAUUUCAAUUCAAAAUAUAAAAUUAAUUUAAAAUUUAAAAUUUUGGGACUAUCUAUAUAUUACAAUGAAAAUAAUUUAAAAGAUAGAUUGGUCGAUAAAUUUGUAAAUCAUAAUUUUGAAUUAAUAUGAUAUACAAAUUUAUGAUCAAUUUGUAAAAAAUUAUCUCAAAUAAGAACAAACAAUUAUGAUCAAUUUGUUAAAAAAAAACAUUCAUACCUAUCUAUAACUUCAAUUCGACGAACGGUUAUGAUCAAUUGGUUAAAAAUAUUGAAAAUAAAAAUGAANNNNNNNNNNNNNNNNNNNNNNNNNUUAAUUUUUUGACGUCAAUUUACCUUACGAUCAAGAGGUCAAAAUUUGACAAUUUUUAAGCAGGCCGGUAUGGAUAUCAUUUCCUAGUUUAACGUUAUGUAGAAAGAAUCGAAAUUUGUUGAUUUUGAUAGAAAAUUCUAUCAAUACAUAGAUAAAGAUACUAACUCCGAUCUUCAUUGAGCGAUCCGAUCAUGGCUUUUAGGAUGUCGUUUCGAUUUUGACCGUUCAUUUUAUGCAUCACUUGAAUGUGACUUAUUGUGUUAUGAUUAAAAUUUACGAAAUUUAUUUUUCUAAAACUUUCAAAUAACUCUAGAUCAUAUUAACGGAGUGAAGCGUCGAUUCGGAACCAUCAUCAAACGAGUUCUGUGUCCGGGUUUGUAAACUUGACUAGACAAUGAGGACUUGACAUUGACACUAUUAAGUGAAUAAAAAGCGCCAAAGUAAGCUUCCUGCUUAAACUUGAUGUUAGCAUUAUGCGUCUAAGUUGACGUUCAAUAUAAAAUAAUCAGACUUGUCGUGUAUUCGGCUGCAAUAAUUCAAUAUUUUAUAGACCGAUUUUAUCUGAUUAAUCUUUUACAGUAAUACAGUGUAGAAUGGAAUUCGAGGUCCACCUCAAUUAUAAAUAUGAAAAUUACUAUUCUUACAAUAACAAUAUAUUUUUGUUAAUCAAUUAAAUAGGAUCCAGCAAUAAAUAAAUGUCGUACUUUUUUUGUCAUUAUACAAAAGAAAAAGAAAAAAGAAAUUAAAAGGUGUGGUAAUGGAGUAUCGUUCGUAGCAUCUAAACUAGAGCACUAGCUUUGGACAAAUUGCGUGUGAUUGAGAGAGGCUUAGUCCCCAUACGUUGUUACAUGUGGACGAGAUAUUUGAUUAUUAUAUAUAAUAUAUAGAUAAUAAAAUAAUACUAUAAUAAUUUACUGUACGAGACGUUACGCUAAUUAAGUUUCGACCGCGAUGGCCAUUUGCCGUUAUUGUUCCCACAUCCAUGGGCAUAAAUAUUAGAACCAAAAAUUACAUCGAGAGAGUGAAGCGCAGCGAGAGGGAGAGAGAGAGAGAGAGAGAGAGGAGAGAGAGCGCCGCGGAAACCGUGAACUCGCCGUGCGAGCGGCGGGCGAAACCUUACCUGAGGAUGCGGCGCUGAGAGCUUCGUCGCCAGGGCCCGCGGCGGCUGCGGCGUGUCGGCGAGUGUCGCGCGCCUCGCGUAGCGGCGUUCUCUUCGUAGAUAGUCCCGAGCGAGGGCCUCAAGGAUCGGCCGCGCCGCCGCCGAGGCCGCCGUAGGCCCGCCUCUACGGCGCGGCCGCCGCACUCCGCCCUCCCCGGAGCGGGGCGCCUUCCUCCUGCGCCCGCCGCUCCGACGCCGCCUCCUCCGGGCCGCGCCGCUCGCCACCGCCCACGAAACCACUCCGCCAAAAGCCUCAUCAAGUACGAAAACACUAUCUCUCUCUCCCCUCUCUCCCUCUUCCUCCUCUCUCCUUGCUUCCAAUUGGGACCUAUUAGGGUUAGGGUUAGGGUUUUGGCCAGGGUUUCGCACUGUGCCGAGUCCUUUUUUUUAUUUAAUUUACGAGAGACGCACACUUGGACUCCGACGAGGCGGCGAGUGUGUGCUCGUUCGUCUGCAUAGGGAGCAGUUAAAUAGAGCGACGCGGCGAUGAUGCGUUUGCCGAUAAUGCCCUCGCCUCUUAUGCGACACUGCAGGGUUAUUUUCGGAAAGUUAAUGUGAUUCAGUUUGGAUUUUUUUGAGGACGCAUUUAAUUGGAUGCCCCGCCGUUCACGCACGUCGUGAUUAGAUUGGACGGUCGUGUUUCUCUUUUCUUUCGAUUUGAUCAACCUUUAACGUUGUGAGAUAUUAUUAUUUUCGAAUGACAUUAUUAAUUUAUAAUAAUUAAUUUAUAUUUUUGUUUGAAAUUUUGAUUAUACAUUUUUAAAAUUUUUAUUUUAACAACCUAGAUUUUAAUUUAAGCUUUGAGGGACAAUUGAGAUCUUUCAUUUAGCUUAUUACUCAAUAACAUACUAUGUAUUUGGUAUUUUAUCAAUUUAAAACUAAUACUAAUAUUGUUAAUAAAAUUAUCUAUUAAGUUUUCUUAAGGAGUUUGAUGCGAGCAUGGCAUGUUUAUCCAACACGAUAUUAUAAAAUUACGUUGUUUUCAAAAGCUUGAGCGGCUAGAAACGGUGUGCUUUAAUAUUCAUGUAUAAACUCGAAUUUUUAGCAAAGCGAAGUUGUGAACUUGAAAUAAAUAAAAUAAAUUAAAUAAUACUAUAGUCCAAUAAACUCGAAUUCAGAACCUCUAUUUCUGAGUAUCAUAUAUAUAUAUAUAGAGAGAGAGAGCAGAGUGGCUGUAUGCUUCUAAAAGUACGGAACUCUGCCGUGCUUCCAAGUUGUUUUCGAUGUUCGCGGACUUUCAAAUCGACGAUCGGCUCCGUUAGAGUUGAUCUAUAGUAUUUGAGAAGUACCUAGAAAAAAAUUUUGUGAUUUUUCAAUAUUAUUUGACCGGUGAUCGAAGGGCUCAAAAUUAAUAAUUUUAAUGGCAGUGAGCCUUUGCCAAAGUUUAACAGUGUAGAAUAUCCAAAUCACAUGAAAUUUUGAUAGAAAAUCUUUUAUUACCAUAUAAAACAAAUCAAUAACUUUGAUCUAAAAUUUUAAUGUCAUAUCAUCAUAUUUUGUGUAGAUUUUUAUUUUCAGCGUUGAUUUUAAGCCACUUGAUCACUAGACAAAUGAUAUCGUAAAAAUCGGCAAAAUUUAUUUUCUAGAUACGAUCGACUUCGUACUCAUAAAUCAUUUAGAUGAUAGGAAUUUCGAUCAAUGAUCGGAAUCAUUAAAGUUGUAUAUAGAGUUUUUAAAGUGUUAGAAAAUAAAUUUUAUAAAUUUUAUAAAUUAUUAUGUAGUUAUCAAAGAAUUAAAAAUUGAUAAUUUUUACAGUGUUAAAUCGUUUUGCUUGUUUAACAGUGUAAAAUAAUCAAACAGCUCAUUGCUAGAAAAUUUUUUAUAUUUAUUUUUUUUUUUAAAUAAUAUUGAUAACUCUGAUCAUGAUAUUGAAAUGUCUAACAUCUAUUUUCACAAGAUACGGUCAUUUGUCGACUAUUCAAUGAACUUGAUAACGAAUUUUAAAAUUAUGAAAUUUAGUUUCUAGACGUAUAAAUAUUUAAAAUCAACUUUACAGUUCCGAUCAUCGAUUCGAUAUUUCUAUCAUCUAAACGACUUAGGAGCAAAGGCAUCAUGUCCUCCUAAAAAAUAUUACUGGACUCUAUAUUUCUAUACUAUAUAUAAGCACGUUAUUUCAAAUUUGGGUCUAUCGAUAGACUCAUUUUUUUACGGGAAAAAUAUUGUUUUCUUUUCCUUACAUAAAAUAAAUAACGUAAUGAAACAAACUUUUAACUUCAUUUUAUCUCUAAAUAGAAAAAAAAAUCUAUAUUAUCCAAAUUUUUGCCAACCGAAAGAUAUUUACUGGUGAAUCUAUAUUUUAAUUAAAAAUUUAAUUAAUUUUUUUAUCUCUAAAAUAGAAAAAAAAAUCAUGCUUAUCCAAAUUUUUGCCAGUAAUAUCUAUGUAAAUCUAUAUUUCAAUUUCAAAUAUAAAUUAAUUUUAAAUUUAAAAUUUUGGACUAUCUAUAUAUUACAAUGAAAAUAAUUUAAAAAUAGAUUGGUGCGAUAAUUUGUAAAUCAUAAUUUUGAAUUAAUAUGCAUAUACAAAUUUAUGAUCAAUUUGUAAAAAAUUAUCUUCAAAUAAGAACAAACAAUUAUGAUCAAUUUGUUAAAAAAAAACAUUCAUACCUAUCUAUACUAAAUUCGACGAACGGUUAUGAUCAAUUGGUUAAAAAAUAUUGAAAAUAAAAAUGAAACUAUUAUGUUCAAUCUGUUAAAAAUUAGCAAUUCUAUCCAUUUAUUUUAUAUUAAAAUUAAUUUGAGUUUAAAUUUUGAAUUAAAUUUAAUUUUUGAUUUUUGAUAUCAAAUCUAUCCAUCUAUUUAUAUUAAAUUUAAAAUUGAUAUUGUAGAUAUUUUCUAAUAAAAUGUAACAUAUAAAUUUAGAAAAUAUUUUAUUCUAAAUUUUUGAAUAAUAUGAUUUACAAAUGUUUAUUGAUUUAAAUAAAUUAAAAUAAUUGUUACGUGCAGUUGCAGUAUGCUCAACUAGUAUAUAUAUUAUAUAUAUUAUAUAUAUUAUAUGGGUCCGGCUAUAUACUAUUAUGAGUACGAUCGCCCUCGUACUCAUAAGUGUUUUCGAUGAUAGCUGCUUCCGAAUCGACGAUCCACACCGUUAAACGUUAUUUACAACAUUUAAACUUUUAGAAAUCAAAUUUAUAAUUUUCGACAUCAUUUACCUUACGAUCAAGAGGUCACACAUUUGGACAAUUUUUAACGGUCGCGUAUGAGAUAACUUGCUAGUUUACGGUGUAGAGAAUCGAAAUUGUUGAAUUUUUGAGAUAGAAAAUUCUUCACUGCAUAGAUAAAAUCAAUAACUCGCAUUCUUGAAUUGAAGGAUCUGAUCAUCCUUUUUUAGGGCGUCUGUAACGAUUUGACCGUUCAUUUUAUGCCACUUGAUGGACUUUAUUAUGAAUUCGAAAUUUACGAAAUUUAUUUUCUAGAAGUUUCAAAUCUCUAGAUCAUUUUAAUGGAGUGGAUCGUCGAUUCGGAGCUCCAUCAUCAAAACAACUUAUGGAGUACGAGGGCUCCAAUACUCAUAAUAGUAUAAUAGCCAUGGCCAUAUAUAUAUACAUAUAUAUAUAUAUAUUGAAACAAUCGUUGUUCUUAAUAGUUACGACAUCGAUUCGCGGAUCCUUAUCAUCUUAAAACACUUAGGAGGACGAAAAUCUCGUCCUUCUAAAAGGAUAGUAGCUGAACUAUAUAUAUAUAUAUAGUAGAGAGAGAGAGGAGAGAGAGAGAGAAGGAGAGAGAAGAGAGAGAGUUUUUUUUCUUUUUGAGAGAUAGGUAAACGCUACCGCUUAGUUUAUUUUAUUUAAAAAUAAAUUAGCUAGAAAUGUGAAAUAACUAGGAUUUCGAACUUGGGGACUUCGAUACCAACCAUCAAGUCCUUUGCACUUGCUCCAGGGACGUCAGUAGAGAUCGGAGUUAUUGAUAUUUAUCUAAGUAUGGAGAUACAAUUUUCUAUCAAAAUUCAAGUUAUUCCAAUUCUUUUACCACCGUUAAACUAGCAAGUACGGUCAUUAAAAAUUGUCAAAUUUUGUGACAUUUGAUCAUGAGGGUAAAAUGAUGUCGAAAAAAAUUUGAAAUUUGAUUUCUAGAAGUUUAAAUAUGCUCUAGAUAAUAUUUAAACGGUAUGGAUUGUCGUUGUGAAAACUCUAUCAUCUGAAAAUGACUUAUGAAUACAAGAGCGAUCGUAUUCAUAAGAAAUAUAGUAGCCGGACUCAUAUAUAUAUAUAUAUAUAUAUAUAUAUAUGAAACAAUCGUUGUUUCUUAAAAGAUUAAGCUGAUAGAGAACCGUCGAUAUACUACUAACAAGACUUGUUCGUACAAGGGAUACAAAUUUAAGGACAAAAUUGCUAAAAUCGAAGAUCUGAAAAACAUAAGUGGAAAUCAAAGUAUCACACUGUAGGUAUUUGAUUGCACAUAAAUCUCAUUUUGUGGUCUUAAAAGUGGAGCUUAUGGAUGGUAGUUUUCUCCAUCACAUUUACUCAAAAUUCAAGACAAUUCCUUCCACCUCAACAAUUUCUAGAUCUUUCCCAGAAGCCCAUAUACCGAAAUGUUGCAGUCACUAAGAUUCUUUGCUGAUGCGCUUUCGUUAACUGGUGUGGACACCAGAAGCUGAGGAAUGCUGCAGAUGAAUAGUCUCUGUACACAAUAAGUGCUUAUUUACCACUUUGUGACAAAAUGUGCCUCAUUUGGUGCUGCUUCUAGGGACUUCAGAGGAAAAAAUUAAAAGAAGAGAAAAAAAAAAAAUCUGGACUGUGCAACUUAAUGCUGCAACAUUUGCCCUGUUCCCUGAAAUGGUGGGCUCUUGCUCCCACCAAUAGAUCUCCCUCCCCUGUUGGGUCCCUGUCAUACAAUAAAUUUUUGCUUGAGUGGCCUCUUUUGAUGUUGUUACUCAUGUUUGAAUAGUAAAAAUACUUUAUUUGAACAAUAAUAGCCCAGCAUAAUCAAUAACUUCACCAUCAGAGUGCUAAAAUUUUAUCUCUAACAACUAUUAUCAGCAUGUUUUGUCAAUUGAUUUGUUCAUCAUUCAUUAUCAUGCUAGAGAAGACCAUAUUCGGUUUUCUAGAUGCUUAUAUCGAUUAGUCUAUAUUGUUUCUACAAUCUUCUACUUAGAUUACGACAAACUAGAGGACAUACUACUGGCUAUUUGGAUUGCGUAUAUUGUUGCUGUUCUGAAACAUUGCAUGUCUGUUAACAGAUAAAAAUAUCUCGGAGUGGACCACUGUUGAGGGGGUAUUAAAUCGAUACGGACAGCGAGAUCAAAUGUAGCAAAUUGUCCGCGAAAGUCGAAUUCUGUGACAAGGCACCUGAUACAAGUCCUGUGAAAUAUGACUGAAGAAGAUGGAGUUGUUUUUGUCGGACUAAACCACAUGAAAUUGCCAACGCAUACAGCCAAGGGAGUUCUUGUGGUUGAUGGAAGAUGCUGUUUUAUGAGCACAAGUUUUUUCUCCGAGGGUGGAUUAGAUUUGAUUCUAGUCAGGGAAACAACAUGCUUAGGAAUGCAAUUGGUGGGAGUUUUAAUCCCGUAAGCUUCGCGAUGCAGCAUAAAUGUUUGAAUUGACAAUUCAUGAGACUAUAUCUGGAUUUGUGGAUCAUAUGUUUCGCUAACAUACAAAUUUCUUUUCAUUUUCGAUCUGACUUUCGAGCAAUAACUGAUGUUACAGCAACUAGGCUCAAGAACACCACAAAAUUCUUCGGAUCCAAGGCCAAACAGAAGCAACUAUGAAAGGAAAAAAAACAAAGAAUAGCAGUGAUCCAACUUCAAUUACCGAAACUGCAUAUUUAGUGUUGUUCUUUUCUUAAAGUUUGCACGAAAAGCUCUGAUUCACACUGCUUUGAGGUUCAUGGAUUUUGUUUGAUGAACAAUGAUUUUUUUCCGUGUUUCAUAAUACGGUUAACCAACAUGUUAACUAAUCGAUUACGAUAAAUUGGAUCGGAUUUUGGAGUUUUUUCUUCUGCAGUACCUCGACGUGACAUGAGCGUGAAAGAGGUUCAAGAAUCAGUUUUCUUUUUAUAAGGGCUAAAAACGAAUCACUUAUUUUGGCUUUUUAACCCCAUAUUGUAGGGUGGAUCUUGAAAGAUAUGAAAGAUCUCCCUCCAAGCCGUACAUACGACUUUCAUCGAAUACGGCUUACAGCAGGCACCGUCCGAAGAAUAAAAACUACCUAGGUCAAAUCUGCCGUUUAUAUGGCUUUGAGAUUCAGGCGUUUCAUAUAAUGAACGGUAGAUUUAAUGGUCUUAGGGUUUGGACUCUCUAACAAAUCUUUGUUAAUGUAGAACAAAACUUUCGGAAACAGUCCCCACGUUCUGUGAGACCACCAAACUCAUCACGAACUUGUAGCGGAACCAAGCCCUCUUUUGAAAACCAAGUACUCUUUUGUUUUCAAUUUUCUUCUUGUUUUUGAAACUGUAGUGGUAUAUAGUCAUAUAAUGGAAAGAGCACAAGAAGCCCACCACUCUGCUAAGAAUGGAGAAUGGAGAACUGGUUCCAUCCUAAAGGCUGAAUAAAGUGAGGUCAGAAGAAUAAAGUGGCCAAGUUGAUUCAUCUUUUUACAGAAUAUGUUCCAACCAUGCCCAAAGAGAAAAAAAAAAACAAAAACAAAAACAAAAACACAUCAAUAUCUCCCUUUGUUACGAUAUAUUUAUAUAGUUUAUCUAUAUUAGGAUACUGUAUAUUAUUUGUCUUUUAUAGAGUAGGAUUAUAUAAUAUGUAAUCUUAAUUAUACUCUUAUUAUAGUAGUCAUUGUUAUUAUAAUAAGAAAAUCUCUUGUACUAUAUAUAUUCGAUAAUACAACCUAAGAGGGUAUACUCUUUUACCAUUCUUUCAUGGUAUCAGAGAGGAAAUCCUAAUUUGGGAAUAUCGAUCCAUAGCCACUACAAGUCUCACCUUCUUCUAUAGGUAUUUUUUUCUUUUUGGUGUUCUACCUCUCAUUUUUCUUGGACUUCUAUCUCUCUGCUACAAUACUGUUACAGUGUGCUAUAGUAAAUAGAUGCUCUUAUUGCCACUUUACAACGUGAAUUUGCCACGACGGAUCUCGGACUGUUGCAUUAUUUUUUGGGUAUUGAUGUUCAUCGCUCCCCCUCUGGUCUUCAUCUAUCUUGGCAAAAAUAUGCGCAUCAACUACUUCAGCGACAUGACUUUUUAACAGUAAGUCCGUUUCUACUCCUCUUUCGCUGACGUCUUGUCUCUUUUCUCAUGAGAGGUGUUUUCUUGAGGAUCCAUACGCUUAUCGUCAGAUAGUUUGUGCUCUCCAGUAUCUCAUUUUCACUAGACCGAACGUUUCAUAUGCCGUCAACUCUGUUGCCCAGUAUCUGCAUACACCUUGUGAACCGCACAUGCAAGCGGUCAAGCGUUUUCUGCGUUAUAUUCGGGAAACGCUGUCUUAUGGUCUUCCUAUCUCUCACUGCGACAAUCCUUCUCUUGUGACCUUCGCCAAUGCUGAUUGGGCUGGUUGUCCAAAUACACGUCGCUCUACUUCUAGAUAUUGCAUUUUUUCGGGCCAAAUCUUAUCUCCUGGUCCACUAAGAAACAACCCACAAUUUCUCAUUCCAGUUUUGAAGUGGAGUAUCGUGAUGUCGCCUACACAUUUGCUGAAACUGUUUGGAUUCGUCGUCUAAUUCAUGACCUUUGUGUUUUCUUAUGGUGCCCUAUCAAUAUUUAUUGCGAUAAUCUCAGCACCAUUUACCUUGCGGCCAAUCCUAUUUUCCAUGCUCGUACAAAGCACAUUGAACUUGACCAUCAGUUCUUGUAGAAAAAAGUCCAGUCUGGUGACUUGGCCUUAAUUUAUAUCCCUUCUAAGAAGCAACUUGCCGACAUUUUCACCAAGCUCUUGUCACCCUCUCGGUUUUCGAUCUUGCGGCUCAAUCUUCGCAUCCAACCAGCAAAUGCUUAACUUGCGGAAAAAUGUUACGAUAUAUUUGUAUAGUUUAUCUAUAUUAGAAUAUUGUGUAUUAUUGCCUUAUAUAGAUAAUAAGACAAUCUCUUAUACUAUAUAUAUUCGUUAAUACAACAUAAGAGGAUAUACUCUUUUACCCUUCUUUCACCCUUCAUAGUGUGCUACCAAACAAUGAUCUUAUAGGUGUGCACUCGAAUGAUUCCCAAAAUCAGAAGAGUUGAUCUAAGAUGAUCAUGAUUAAGAUUGCAAAGUUUUCACUUUCACCCGUUAUUAGGAGUACCUUUUUAUUUUCCUUUUUAGUGUGCACACAAAUCAACAAAAAAGAGGUUGAAUUUACCAGUUUGAACAACAGGGGAAACAGAAGCAAUCAAUGGUCGAAAAUUUCGACUAGUUUUUGGAUAGCUGUUAUGGAGUACGCUUGUCCGGGAGCACAAUAUAUUGGAAACCCCACUAUCGUAGCUUUAAUUAUAGUUUAUUAUUUGGUCAGGAAUCUAUCAUUGCUAAGCUCUACUAUAAAACUGUCGCACCUGCUACUGAUCAAAUUUAUGUUAAAGGAAAGAAGAGCAGCAUGCAAUGCAGGUUGAUGCAUGGUGGCGACAUCUUCGGCCUUUUUUGCAGUGUUGGUGAUUAUUCUCUCUAUAAACAACAACAACAACAACAACAACAACAACAAUGAUAACAACAACAACAACAACAACAACAACAACAACAACAAUAAUUGCAUUGCCAUCAGUAAUCAGUCCCAUAGACAAAAAGAAAGAUGCUUGAUUUGAAUAAAUGCGGCUUAAAAAAGAAAAAGAAGACAACCUCUAGAAGAUCUUCUUUAAGAAGAAAAGCAAAGUCAGAUAUUCGGCAAAUUAGAGGUCUUAGAGUAUAAUAAGAGCGCGACUUUAGCAAACGAAGAGAAAAUUACUCGAGAGCUUUGCAAAGAUCUCCUUUAGUGAGAAAAGUGAAGUCAAAGAUUUAGCAAAAGAAAAGUCAAGAGAUUAUAGCUCCCCAUUCAAUUUGGAACUAGUAAGUAUCUGUACAUUUUCAACAAGUUGUUGGUCGAUUUAACCUUGAAAUUUAAGCCCUAAACCUCGAGUCCCCGAAUUUCAAUCAACGUAUCUUCUUAAGCUGGUAAAUUUCAAAGUUCAAAAAAUUGUAUGCAAGGAAUACCAUUUCAUGCUGAAAAUAUUGAUGGUAACAAGCAAGUCUAGACCAGUACUGACAUUUUCUCAAGUGCAAAUGGAACUCUACAACUUCAUUGAUCACCUGAACCAAACCAUUUCAAGACCAAUUUAUGUACUUACUGAAAUAAUCAUAAAAAAAAAAUCACUUUUUACUCAGGAUAGAAGAUAACUAUUUGUUAAUACAGAAGCUAUGUAAAAAAGAUGGCACAAAUUACAGUAAAAUUGUUACAGAACUUUGAGAUAAGUGGAAGAGCCACUCUCACAAACUACACUUCUUAGAGGGGCAAAGUUGUCAGAACAUUAUACAUCUUGGAGGGCAAUGUUCAAGGGACUAUUAGAAAAGCAAAAGAUGCCUAGUGCAUAAAGGUACUUCCUGGGAAUCCAGAAUUUCAUUCUGAAUUCCAACAUUAAUAUCAAGCUAAAUCUAAAACCAUAGAACUACAUAAAUGUGAUAUUAUCUUAUAAAAAUAUUACCAACAUGUCAGUUUUCUAACGCAAGUAAUUUAUGCGUGUAUUCCAGAGGCAUGGAAGGUCAUACAUACAACGUUCCUUUCAAAUACAAGAAAUUGAACAAGUUGUCUAUAUGCAUAUUCCAGAGACAUAAGGUUUACACUACAAUUUACAUGCAGUAAUGGCUCUGUGUAGCAGCAGAUUGGUCACUGAAAACUGUCCCAUUCCACAAUCAAUCACCAAUUUCCACAUCUCAUGUCCAGCAACUACUACUCGACAAAUCCAUAUAAGCAUUCUUAGUGGAAGUCGUACUCCUGCCAGGUUUUUCUAACCCGUUCAGGAAAAUAAUCUGUUACUAUUUCUAUGCAAUUUAACCUAACUGCUCAGAAGCAUUAUCUAGUAAAAGUUACCAAAAAUUAUUCAACUUUUUUUCAAGACCAGGCAAUUGGACCUUAAUACCUUACUUUAGCCGCAGAACAUGAUAUCUUUUGUCAAUUACAGCAAACAGCUGGCUAACAAGGUCAGCAAAUUAAGGAUUACUGCAAGUAAACAUGGCCCAAAAGGCCUAAUAACAUUUUUGUUAGAACUCCAGAAAAGCACCUAUUUGCACCAAUCUCUCCUGAUGCAUAUCUGUAUUACAAGUAUCUAGUCAAUGUUCGAAAAAACCACAAACAUAUGCAGGUGUCCAGUUCACUACAUAAGCAGCUAUAUAUGCACGAUCCUAUCUGUGUAUAUACAACAAAAAUAUUUUCUCAUAUGGUACAACUGUACAAGAAUGUAAAAGUAAAAAAGGAAUACAUCCACUAAAUGGAGGUAGAAAAUUUUUAAAGACCUACUUUAACCAUCUAUAUUUGUAACAUAGAAAAAUUCACAAGUUUUCCAUGAAGCAAGUACAAGAAAUAAUCAGGAUACCAGAGUAUUCUCAUAAACAAGCCUGCAAAUAUUUGUAGAUAGAAUGUGAAAUCAAGAAUUCAAUUAGUGAAACAUCUAUACAUGUUUAAUCCAGCUUUAUCUAUCAAAAAUGUGUAGCUUCAUCGUGCACCCGUACCAUGACACACAGGCCUAACACUGCUAUCUAGGCAGAGCAAUCAAAAGAUGGCAUCUAGAUAUGCGGCAGCAUAUGCAGAUGCAUGCACCAAGACAAUAGAUGAUACUGAGAGAAGCGAAACAACAAUCAUGCAUGUAGUAUAGACCAUAUUAACACUAGUUACGGCACAGGCCAGGUGAAACCGCAUUUCUGUUGAAUGGUACAAUGAAGAUAUACUGUAUUCAUUUGCUGUUUCCUUUACACAUACAGAUAAAACGAUGGAGAACAGUAGGUGUGUCUUAUCGAGAAAGCUGGGUCUGAUUAUCAUUUCCUAGUUCCUGCGCAAUACUAUAUUCAGCACAGGAAAAUGAUAUUUAAAAAUAGUGCCAUAUGCCUUGAGUACAUGAAAAUAAACUUCCAUAUCAUGCAAGAAAUAUGUAGACUAGGUCAUUCGCUUGUUCAGCAGUAUCUCAUAUAUGUCAUGCUUCAACUAGAUUUUCACUAGUCUGCCAAAUCAAGAACAAAAAUUAUACAGAAGGGUGCAUAUUCUGAUACAGACCAACCAAAUGACAAACAUUUUAGCUACAACAAGUCCUGGACGAAGUUAAUCGAACUACGCACCUAUAUAGCAGUUGUGUAUCGUAGCGCAAAUGAUAAUUCUUCAGCAGCAGAUAAUGCAUUCAUAUUUUCACACAAAGCCGGUGCUUACCAUUACAUUUUUCCCAUUUUUAAGCACCAUACUGCACGUAAAGCAGAACCCCAAGGAAAAAGAGAAAAUUAAAUGCAACAAAAUUAGAGCAUGGUAUUGAGCUGCGCAACAAACACUCCAGCACAUUCUUUUUAACAAGCACAUUCAAAGCAAAAAUCUACCCAACAACUUUGAAUGUAGUAGCAUCGAUAACACUAUCAGAUGACUGGAUUUCCAUGACCAGAGUUACAUUUCAGUUAACAAGUUUAAACCUUUUCCCUCGAUAUGAACAGGACUACUUAUUCCUCCUAUAUUACAAAACUAGAAGAGAAAGACCUUUUUCCUGAACCCCGCUUUUCUUUUCUUUUCCUUUUUUUCUUUUUUUCCUUUACAGAGAUUAAGCGCCAUGAGCAGACGUAGAGAAGAGAACAAACCUUUCAUAAUAAGCAGCAUUCGGAGCUCGAUUCACCUCUAUCAUUUGAUUUGAAGAAACCCUAAAUAAACAAAAUUUCUAAGAGAAGAGAGAUAGAGAGUGUGUGUGUGUGUGAGAGAGAGAGACCUGACUCACACGAAGCCGCUCAAUUGCAUCUUCUGAAGCGUCUGUGCCAAGCCUGAAGCAUUCUUCGCGAUCUUCCCGUUCCGUGCCUCCGCGAGAUGGGGUAAGCAGAGAUCCAAAGCUCCCUCUUCGAUCGCUUCGGCGGCCAUUUCCUCGCUGUAGGAGCACACCAAGUUGAGAACGAGAAGGGCGUUCUCGACCCCUCGCGGGCUCCCUGCCCGGAGGACGCCGCACAAAACCCUAAUGAGGCGGCCGGCCCCCUUGUUCAUCUCCUGCCGACCUUCCUGGCACUUGGCGAUCAGCCCUAGCACCUCGACGGCCCGCUCGGAUCCGGCGGCGGCGAAGGCGACGAGCGGCGGCACGGCGCCGGCGCGGACGGCGCGGCGGCGGUUCUCCGGGAACUUGCAGAGCUCGUAGAGCGCGGUGGCGGCCUCGCGGCGCUCGCGGGGGGCGCCGGCGCCGCGGCGGAGGAGGAGCGCGGCGAGGCGGGGGAUGGCGGCGGGGUGGGCGCCGAUGGUGCACUUGUUGACCUCGACGACGGCGAGGCUGGUGAGGGUGGUGGCGGCGAGGGCGGCGGAGGGGGAGGCGAGGGCGGCGGCGAGCGCGUCGACGGCGCCCUCGGCGACGCGGCGGCGAGCGGCGGCGCCGCCGCGCUUGACGAGGCGGAGGAGUUGGGAGAGGGAGGCGGCGUCGGAGGGGAAGGAGAGGGAGGAGGCGAGGUCGAGCGCGCGAAACAACUGCUGCUGCUGUUGUAAUGAUUUGGCACCGUCAGCAUCGGGGGAAGGGGAAGGGGAAGGGACGAAGGUGGAGAUGAGGCGUCGGAGGGCGUGGUUGGGGAUGAGGAGUUGCUGCUGCUGCUGCUGCGGGUAAGAAGGAGGGUAAGAAGGAGGGUAAGAAGAAGGUAGUGGUGCGGGUGCUGCCGGGGUGUUGGUGAGGGGGCAGGUGCGGCUGCCGGAGUCGAGCCAGCGCUGGAUGGAGGGGCGGUCGUAGGUCUGGCCCGACCAGGUGAGGAUGACCGGAUCCCGCAUCACCUCCAGCGAUAUCGGGCACCGGAACUCCUCCGGCAAGUCCACUUCCAUCACUCUCCCCCUCCUCCUCCUCCUGCUGCUCUCCUUAAUCAAUUAAUUUCUCCUUCCAGAACGAAAGAGAGAAGGGAUUUUGUAUUUUUCCUUUCCGCAAAUUCCCUAUCGAUAGUUUUGGGUUUAGAAUUUUAGAUAGAGAGAGAGAGAUAGAGAGAGAGAGAGAGACUAUGGGCUAUGGCAUGGGUUGAGGUGGGGUGGGUUUUGGGGGAAGAAGGCGUGUGGGACUAUUGCUUGUUCCCUGUGCGCGUGUGUGUGUGUGUUUUGAAGUAGAGAGAGAACGAGAGGUGUUUGGGUGUGUGACGUGUUUUAUGCUGAGAGGAUAUGGGUGGAGGUGACCGUCCAGUGACCGUAAGAGACCUUUCACCCUCCGGGGGCAGCUUUGGAGUGUUUUUUUCUUUUUUUUUUUUUUUUUUGGGUUAAAUGCAUGCAUGUUUUUUUAAAUAUAGUAAAUUACAAAUGUGUUCUUCCAAUAUUCAAUUUUUAUAUAUUAUUUUUAAUUUUUUAUAAAAUUUUUAAAAUUUUCAAAUAUUUUUCUCUGAUUUAUUAUCAUUAUAGAAUUAUUUAUACUUUAAAUAAAUAUUAAUUUUGCCAUUACAAAUAUGUCCCUCCAAAAGCCACAAUAGUAUAAUGUAAGGGGCGUCAAAUUAUCUCAAAGUUAAGUAUUUAACAUGUGAUUAGCUAAAGUUUGCUAACGUAUUCUAACGGUAAGGAUAUAUUUGAAAAUAUUAGAAUUUUUGUAAAAAUAAUAUAUAAAAGUUAAAGUUUAUAAAAAUAUAUUUAUAAUUAACUAUAUAUUUGCAGGAAUUUGCAUGAAAUUAUUUUUACAAAAAUUCUAAUAUUUUCAAAUAUAUCCUUACCGUUAGAAUCCGUUAGAAAAAAUUAAUUAACCAUAGAUUAAAUACUUAACACUGGUUAGUUUUUGACAUUUUUCCUCUUUUUAUAUUAUAUUGUUAUGCCUUUUGGAGGGAUACAUUUGUGACAAUAAAAUUGAAAAUAUAAACAGUUUUAUAACGGUAAUAAACUAGAAGGAUAUAUCAGGGCUUUUAUAUGAAUAACAUAUAAAAGUUGAACUUUGUAGGGAUAUAUUUAUUAUUCAUUAUAUUUGUAGGGACCUGUAUGAAAUUAAUUCUAAAUCUUUUGACAAUAUCCCCAAUCAAAAGUUGGCUUAAAAGGCCGGAAUUUUGAUUUGUAUUNCGAUAUUUUAUAUUUUUUAAAUUUAAAUUUGAUCUAAAAUUUAAAGUUUGAAAUUUAAAAUUUAAAUUUUUAAAUUUAAAAUUUGAGAUUUUAAAUUUUAAAUUUUAAUUUUAAAAUUUGAAACUUAAAAGUUAAAAUUUUAAAUUUUAAAAUAUAAAUAUAAAAUAUAAAAUUUAAAAUUCUAAUAUAAAGAAAAAUGAUAAUAUUAUUAUUUUUUAUUUAUAACUAUCCACUUCAAUUCUUAUUCCAUCUUACCGAACCAAAUGUUAUUUUUCUUAUUCUCAGGAAUAACCUAAUUUUCAUCCAAAUGUAAAAUUAAUCUAAUCCCUGCUUAUACCUCAAUUUAUACCUAUUCCUGGAAUACCCAUUUUUUGCUUAUACUCGAAUCAAACGAUACCUAAGUUUAUUAAAUUUUCAUUAUUGUACCUGUAAUUUUGAAGUUUUGGUUUUAGCUUGUCAUAGCGCUGUAGACCGUAUUUUUAUGAAUAAAUCUUUUAUUUUAAAUUAGAUUGAAAAUGAGAUAUAAAAUAAAUGAAUAUGAUAUUGUACUGUACAGUAUAGAUAUACGAAUACAAUAGAUGCAAGUAAUAAUACCGUCAACAACCUUUCUAAUGGCAAGGUACCAUAAGGAUACUAGAAGGUCAAAAAUAUCUUAGAUUACAAAAAAAAUCUAUUAAAAAGUUUAUUAACUAGUUGUAAAUAUUAUCUUUUUUUAAUCAAAUAUAAGAUAUAUCUAAAUUCAAAUCUUUUCAUUCCGUGAAAUCAUAAUUAAAUAUUUAUUUUCUAUCAAAUUGAUCAAUCGAGUAAUAUAAUAAAUUACUCCUAACUAAAAAUUUCUGUGUUUCUGAAAAAUUUAUGAAUUUAUCAUGCAAAAAAAAAAAAAAGGAAAAAUGGGAGGACAUUUAAUACAGGUUUGGACUUUGGGACCCCAAAAUAACGGACAUGUAGUUAUUAUGAGAAAAUUAGAAAAAUGCCGUGGCCAAUUUUGUUGUCCAGUGCCUUUGAUUUGCUGAGGUAAAUAUUAAAUUUACAUACAUAAAAUUAAAAAAAUACAAGUAUAAUGUCAAAUUAUCCGGUUUAUGGAGGGGCUUUCUGUAAUUCGUCCCUCCGGGCUAUAGCCGUUGACUCAUAGUGCAAAACAACCUUUCCGUUCCCGAGCAUCGCACGCCACACACAUCUCGGCCCACCCACGCGCCGAACAUAGAAAUAGUAGAAUAUAUAGAUUAUAGUAUGCUCUCAUUCCAUUAUGCGCUAAUGACGGACAGUUUCUUACUUGAUGUAUGUUAUCACAUACAGAAAUUUAAACGUGGUUUAUUAACGGUGUGGACGGGUAACCUCACCCACCCGCGGUCCUUACUGUUGGCUUAAACGGUUCGGCAUCCUGUCUUGUGGCGGAGGCCGAGUUGGAUCGAGUUACGUUCGAAAUGAUGUGAGAUUGGAUAGAUCGAGUUAUGUGUGAAGUCGCGUGAGGCCGGAUGGACCGAAUCACAAUUACGUUUUAAAUAAAUUGGUUGCGUAUCUAACAGCUAGAGCUUUUGGGAUUAAUAAUUAGCACUAACAAUCUCAUCCUUACGAGAAAAAAUUUACUAUAUCAUCAAAAAUAAAUUAAUCAUAUCUCUUCCUUAAAAAAUCAAGGACAACAAAAAUAUUUUUUAUAAUUAUAAUGAGACGAAUAAAUUUAAAAAAAUUAUUCGAUUGAUGAGGAACACUGUUUCGCUAAAAAAAUUAUUCGAUUGAUUAGGAACACCGUUUCACUAAUAUAACUAAUGUAUUUUAGAAAUUUUCCUUCUUAUUCUCACUUCUUUUUAUCCACCUACUCCACCUCAGAAUUAAAGUUUAUAAUUUUAAAUUUUAAAUUUCAAACUUUAAAUUUAAGAUCAAAUUUAAAUUUGAAAAAUAUAAAAUAUCAAAUUUUAAAUUUCAAAUUAAAAUAUCAAAUUUAAAAUUUAAAAUUUAAAAUUUAAAAUUAUAAAAUUUAAUUUUGAGACUAUAAAUUAUAAAUUUUAAAAAAUUAAAUUUUUAAUUUUUAAAUUUUUAAAAUAAGAAUAGGGGUGGGAACAAUUAAUAAAAAUAAUUUAUUAUAAUAAAUUUAUAAAUUUUUUAAAAAUUCUACUUAAACUUAAAUUUAAUAAAAAGAAUUUAUUAUAAUAUUUAAAUAUAAUUUACUAUAAAUUUUAUUAUAAUAUUUAAAUAUAAAUAAUAAUUAUUAAUAUAGUACAAUUAAUAAUUUUAUAAUAAAAAUAAUGUAUUAUAAUAUAUAAAUUUUAAAAAAUUAAAUUUUUAAUUUUUAAAUUUUUAAAAUAAGAAUAGGGGUGGGAACAAUUAAUAAAAAUAAUUUAUUAUAAUAAAUUUAUAAAUUUUUUUAAAAUUCUACUUAAACUUAAAUUUAAUAAAAAGAAUUUAUUAUAAUAUUUAAAUAUAAUUUAUUAUAAAUUUUAUUAUAAUAUUUAAAUAUAAAUAAUAUGUAUUAAUAUAGUACAAUUAAUAAUUUUAUAAUAAAAAUAUUGUAUUAUAAUAUAUAACAUAUUAUAUUUAUAUAAUUUAGUUUUAAUUCAAUUUAUAAUUUUAAUUAAGUUUGAAAUUAAGAAUUGGAAUAGUGCUAUUCCACAAAAAUUGUGGAAUAGCAAAUCCCUUGCUAUUCCGGGAUAACCGGGAAUAGCAAGAUUUGACCGGGAUAAAAUAUUCCGACUAAAUUUUAUCCCGUUUGGCGGAAUAGCGGGGAUAACGAAAGUUAUUCCCGCUUAUCCCCCAACCAAAUGGGGCCUUAGAUACUCAUUUGCAAAGAGCCAUAGUUUACCAUAGAUAGAUAGAUAGAUUUCCUCCUCAACUAUUGUUUCUUUCUUUAUGUUUUUGGUCAUGUUGACAUAUAUACGGGGAUAAAUAAAUAGUUACAUAAACAUGAGCGUGCCUUCUAUGGAACAAAUUCAAAUCCUAGUUCUCUUUGUCUUUCUCUUGAUUAAUUUGGUCAAAUAUGAAAGACUCUUGAUAGAGAAACCUAUAUAUGGUUAGGGAGAAACCUAGUGUAGCUUAUAUAAAUAGCAAGAAAUCAACCCACGUGAUAAAUUUCAUUGGUUAUGCAAAGUAAUUAAGGCUCGAUUUGCACGUUGAGAAAAUGCAAUAAAAAAAUAUUAUAUUUAUUUUCGCAUAUAAUAUCACGUUCUGUAUAUCGUGCUGAGUCAAUUACGACAUAUUUUCUAUCCUCUUAUUUAAAAUACGCACAUAUUUUUGUCUCAAAUUUAUUUUAUCUAUUAGCCUUAGAUGAAUCUCACUAACUUAAAAUCUGAACUCCGAAUCCUAGCUUGAAUCCGAAAAUCCGAACCGAACCAUUAUUCCUGUUUACAAUAUUUCAAAAUAUAUUAAAUUAAAUGUGAAUAUUUAAAAUACAUAUUCAAAUAUAAUAUCAAAUAUUUAUAUAUAUUAUAUAUAACGUAACAUAAGUUCAGGUACUAAUCGGUUUUGGAUUCGGAUCGGAUAUAAUCAAAAUUCAUAUCUGAAUUCAAAUUAUUCGGAUUUUCGUUUUUGAUAUCCAUAUCCAAAAGUAUAUACAUUUAGCAUAAGUAAAUUCACUGUAUUCGCUUUCGGGUUUGAAUUCCGAUUCGGAUAAAAGAGUAAUAAAAAAUUUCUUUUAUUUAAAUUUAAUUUUUUUAAAUUUAAAUAUUAAAUAUUUAAAUUUAACAUAUUUAGAAAUAUUAUUAUUUCUAAAAUUUAAAUUAAUGCUUAAAUUAAAAGAAUUCUAAAAUUUCUAAAAUUAAUGUCUAAAUUAGCACAAAAUUAAUGCCUAAAUUUGAGAUAUCAAUUAAACCUUAAAUUAAUGCUUAAAUUAGUGCAAAAUUAAUACUAAAUUUGAGAUAUCAAUCAAAACUUUUUAAAAAUUUUAUCUAGUUUAAUUAAAAAGCAUUCUCAUAUAAAAUAACCUUCUAACCUACUACAUAAUAACAUAAUUUUUUAUUCUUUAUUAAUCAAUAUUUUUUUUUGUUUUUUAUAAAAUAAAAUAUCGAAUCAUUUCUCUUGUAUUAUUUGGACCACAAGCAAUCAUGGAUUGCAGGGGCUUAAGUUAUAAAAGGUACUGAAAUUAAAUCACAAACACCAGGCAUGAGUCGUUCAUCGAUCCUUUAUUGGCCUUUUACUGCUAGCCAUUGAAACCCUCAACAAAACAAAUUAAAAAUAAUUAAAAAAAAAUUAAAAAUGAACAGAGCUUGCAAGUUAGCUUUAAAAGUGUCCUUCUAUUCAAACUUAAAGCUAAUAAUAGUAACAAUAGUAAUAAAGAUAAAAAUGGUGUCUUAUCUUUUGAUCAGACCCCAAAUAUCUCUUCAUAAAUUUUUUUUAUUUAUUCUUUUGAUAAAUUUUCUUCCUUAAUAUUGAUCUCUUCUCUACAUUAUUUUAUUUUAGAUUCUGAAUUAUAUAAUUAAUAUCGGUAUAAAUAUCAGUUUUAAUAAAUAAUAUUAGUGCAAAUCAUACUUCCAACAGAUAGAAUAUUCAAAAGGCAUAGAAAAACAAAUUAAUAAAACUGGCCUUUACGAUCACCACCAACCCAUGAUGCACACAACGACGGUCCACAGCCUCAAUUUAAAUGUGGAGAUAAACAAGGAGACACGUUGGUGUACGAAUCAUAUAUAAUUCAAACAUGUCAGCUUUACUCAUCAAUCACUGGUAGAAUUUGUCCCACUCCUAAUCUGUUAUGCUAAACAAAGAGACUAUUCUGGCGGCAUAGGAGUGGAAUAUAUGCCAUAAAACUAAUAUAUAUAUAUAUAUAUAUAUAUAUAUAUAUAUAUAGAGUAGGCUGUAGGGUUAGAAUACUUUUACAAGUAUCACCCAAGUGAUACUUGUGUAUUUUUAGCCCUUGGAUGGAGAGAUGUGAGGUUGAGAUGAUGGGGGUAGGUGGUGGUAGGUGGGGGUAGGUGGAAUAGUGUUUGAUCCAAGAACUAUUUGUAAUCAAAAAGUAGAUCUAAUGGCUAAAAAUGUGAUAGCAACAUGGGGAUGAUACUUGUAAAAGUAUCCUAGAUCAACUCUAUAUAUAUAUAUAUAUAUAUAUAUAUAGAGUUUGAAGCGCUGCUAUGCGGGGGGACUAUCGAAAGUACGGAGCCUUUCGUGCUUACAAGCUCGUUUUCGAUUUGCGACUUUCGAAUCGUCGAUCUUCGUCCGUUAAAAAAAAAAAAUUGAUCUAGCGAGUAUUGGUGUACCUAGAAAAUUAAAUUUUUAUGAUUUUUCGAUAUCAUUUGCUCUAGUGAUCGAAAUUGGCUCCACAAAAUCAACAAAUUUCAAUGGCCGCUAGUUGAGCCGUUUGCAAGUUUAAACGGUGUAGAAAUAUCCAAAAUCACGUGAAAUUUUGAUAGAAAAUGCUCUUAUAGCUAUUAAAACAGAGAUUAAUAUUUUUUAUUAAAAUUUUAUGUCAUAUUAUUACAGUUUGUAAGAUUUUUAUUUUCAGCCGUUAAUUUUGAGGCCCUUCACUUCACUAAGGCACAAAUAUAUCGUGAAAUCUAAAAUUUAUUUUUAGUACUCUAAAUACUCUAGAAUCAAGUUAACGAGGCCGUCGAUCGAUUCAAAAGUCGGCAACAUCGAAAACGAGCUGGAAGCACGGAAGGCUCCGUGCUUCCGAUAGCAUAGUUAGCCUUAACUUAUCUAUAUUAAUAUACUAUGAGAGAGAGAGAGUAGACGGGGAGAAGAGAGAGAAGAGGAGGAAGAUCGCGCGUCAACUGCGUAAUGGAUAAUUAGUUCAGUCGCUGGGAUUUGAUGAGAAGAGAGAGAGAAUAAGUCUCCUGUAUUUUUGAAAGUACAGAGAUCUCCGUACUUGUAAGUUAUUUUCGAUGAUAGAGAAAGUAUAACAGAACCGAUCGCCGAAUCGAAUGUCCUAUUAUUGAAAAUAACUUACAAAUACGGAGGCUUCCGUACUUUCAAAAGAAUAGGAGCCUAGCUCUAUAUAUAUAUAUAUGAGUGGGCCGGUAUGCUUAUGGAAGCACGGAGCCCUCCGUGCUUUCAAGUUGUUUUCGAUGUUCGGACUUUCGAAUCGACGAUCGGCUCCAUUAGAGUUGAUCUAGAGUAUUUGAAGUAUCUAGAAAAUAAGUUUUGUAAUUUUUCGAUAUCAUUUGGCUAGUUAUCGAAAUGGCUCAAAAUCAAUAAUUUAAUGGCCGUGGUGAGCCGGUUGCAAAUUUAACGGUGUAGAAAUAUCCAAAUCACAUAAAAUUUUGAUAGAAAAUUCUUUAUACUAUAUAAAACAAGAUCAAUAACUUUGAUCUAAAAUUUUAAUGUCAUAUCAUCAUAUUUUGUAAAAUUUUUAUUUUCAGCCGUUGAUUUUGAGCCACUUCGAUCACUAGGCAAAUGAUAUCGAAAAAUCGCUAAAUUUAUUUUUUAAAUACUUCAAAUACUUUAGAUCAAGUCUAACAGAGCCGAUCGUCGAUUCAAAAGCCCGAACAUCGAAAACAAAGUAAAAGCACGGAGCUCUCCGUGCUUCCAUAAGUAUCCUAGCCGCACUCUAUACAUAUUUGAGUUGCGCUGGCAUACUAUUAAUAGUAUUUGUACUAUUUUAUUAUUAAUUUUUUUACCAUUAAAUUUUUUGUUUUAAUUAAUUUUACUCUUUAAAUCAUACUAUUCAAUCAACCACCACUCAAUUUUAGAGUGACCACUAUCAUUCUAACCCUAUAAUUUUUCAUCCAAGGGUUAAAAAUUCGAUAGAAAAAAAGUCUAAAUACUAUUAAUAAUAUUUCAAUUUAAUUCUAUAUAUUUUUUCUAUAUAUAUAUAUAUAUAAUUUUAGAAAAUGAAGAAUUUGAACUAUUGGCUAAGUAGGUAUCACGAAUGUUAUCAAUUUUAUGAUGAUUUUAAAAUUAAGAGUCUACAAACGGAUUCAAAGAGUAUAAAGAACAACCCAAGUUCAUUUAUUAAUAUAAGCAAUGGUUCCGGAGUGUUUUAUUCUUCCAAAAAGUAUGAAAAUUUAUUUUUUUGUAAAAAAAAUACUCCUUUUAUGCUUUUUAUUUUUUGAAAAAAAUAUAAAACAAAAUUAUUAUUUUUUCAUAAAAUUUGGAAGAGAAGUUUUUCAAAAAAAAAAAACUAUUUUUUUCAUAAACCGAACUGAGGAAAUUUUUUUUUUCAACAAUAAAACUAUUCUUUCAAAUAUUUUUAAGAACUAAACGCAACCUAACAUGAAAACAAUGGACGUAAUUCUAAAACACAUCCAUCUAAUGGCCAAUUUUUUAUACUAGUUUAUUCUUAAAAAAAAAAUGAAGAAAUCAAGUAGUAUACUCUCUUUCUCUCUAAAACAAAUAUAUUUUGUACAAUAUUUAUCAAAAUUUUUAUUAAGAAAAUUCAGAAACAUUGUUUAAAUGUUUAACGAUGCCAAGAUGAAAAACUUCGGUGAGGAUUUUUUCAACAAUGCCUCAUUAAGAAGCUCUCAAUCCACUCCCGCCUAUCAAUUUUCUAAAACAAACACGUGGCAAAGGUCCACACUGGAUUUAUAUUUAGUUAUGAUUGUACAAGUAGUAUUUAUUUAUUAGUACAAGAUAUACAUUUUCUUAUUAAAUAAUUUAAAAAUAACUUAUUUUUUUUAAUUAUUUAUAACUAUAUAUUAUUCCUUAAUAACCGCACACGUGUCGCGAGGAGGCCGAGGUGCGGGCGAGGGUGCGGCGUUGGCGGCCAUGGGCGCGGGCGGAGCCGUGAGCAGGAGCCGGGGAGCAGCGCAGGGCACGUGCGCGGCGCGAUGCACGGGCGCUGCGGCAGCCCGGAAGCGGCGCGCGCAGAGCGGCGCGGCGGCUGCGCGGGCGGCCGCGCUUCCGGACGCUUGGCGUGCGACGCAAGCCGACUGCGGGGCGCAGGCGCGGGCGGGUGGGGUAGGGCGGGCACGCGAGGGCACGGCAUGGGCGGCUGGGCGAGCGAAAAAAAUCGCGGGGCCUCACCAGUAUGGAGGUGUUCACAGUGUCGACUCUCGUGGACCAAUGAGAGGGAGAUCCACUCAAUUCUUGUAUAAGUAUAAAAUAAAUUUUAUUGAUUUUUUUGAUAUCAUUGCCUAGUGAAUCGAUGGCCUCAAAAUCAACAUCAAAUGUUCAAUGGCUUGGUAGUGUGUAGCAAAUAUCCAAAUCACGUAAACUUUUGAUAGAAAAAUUCUUUAUACAUUAUAUAAAACAUUCAUAUUUUGUGAUUUAAAGAAUUUAAUAUAAUUAAUUACAUUUUGUAUUGAUUUUAUAUUCCCAGCCAUGAUUUUGAGCCCUUUGUUUAUUAGGGCAAUGAAUCGAAAAAUAAUAAAAUUUAUUUUCUACGGUAAUCCAAUUGACUCUCAAAUCAAUUUAACGGAGCAUCGCGUCGAAAGUCGCAACAUCGAAAACGAGCUGGAAGCACGAAAGGCUCCGUGCUUCUGAUAGCAUAGUAGCCUCGCUCUAUAUAUAUAUAUAUAUAUAAUUCAUUUAUUAAUAUAUAUUUAUUUAUUAUAUAUAGUAUUUUAUUUUUAUAUAGAUAUAUUAUUAUAUAAUAAUUUAUUAUCUAAUUUACUCCUUAUUUUUAUAAAAUAUAAAAUAUAUAAAUAAAUGUUAAAUAAUUUAAACUACUAGUAUUAGAUAUAAAUGUUAAUUUUAUUAUGUUGAGUAUUCACAUAUAAAUUGUACUUUAAAAAAUAAAAAAAAGGAUUGACGCAGCUUAAAUUAAUUUUAUAUUUGAUGAAAGUUAAUUGCAAGAAUCACAAGCAAUGAUUUCUCUUCUCAUUCACUAACUAUCGGGGGACUACGAUACCUACUAAAAAUUAUUUCACUAACUAAUGGGGAACUACUAUGUCUACGAAAAAUUUUUGAUAUACUUAUUUCAUCAUUUAUUAUUUCUCAACUCCUUAGACAUGCAUAUAUAUAUAUAUAUAUAUAUAUAUAUAUAUACAUAUAUAUAUAUAUAUAUAUAUUGCACCUUUAAAAUUAUUCGUAUUUCCAUAAUAUUUAUUGAUUAUUGAAAUUAAAAAUUUUUACAUAACUAAUAUUUAAAAUUAAUUUAAAAAACUAUCGUGCAUACUACGUGGGUCCUAACUUUAGUCAUUAUUAGUAGGGAUUUUUUGUAUUUUAGACCCCUGAACAAUUUUUAUUUUUAAAAUAGCCCUGUCAAAUUUUAAUUUGCAAAAUGUCUGGCCCUGCCACGCAGGCCGCCACGUCAGCCACGCGGGCAUUGCGCUGGGCCGUGUGUUAGUUGAAACACGCGUGAACCAAUUCAUCCGUUUCAACACGGUGAAUGGUCACGUGUUUAGUACGAUUUUGUUCGUAUUAUUUUUGUAUUAUUGAAAGUGAUAAGAGUAGGGAUGUCAAUAGGAUAUGGAUUCGAAAUAUUAUCCAAUUCAAACCCGAAUAUAUAUAUAUAAUUUUUUUAUUUAUUUAUACAAAUAUAUUAAAAUAUUUAAUAAUUUUUAUUUCUUAGAUCUUCAUCCAACAGCGGGUUUUUAAAGAUCUAUACCGUUGGUAUGAAGUCUAAGGAACAUAAAAAUUAUUAAAUAUUUUAUAUAUUGUAUAAAUAAAUAAAAAUAAAUUACGUAUAUAUAUAUAUAAUUUAUUCGGGUUUGGAUUCGAAUAAUAUUAAGAAUAUCUAUAUCUAUCGACAUCCCUACUCCUUAUUCCACUUUUCAAUAUACAAAAAAUACGUAAGAAACACGGUGAACCAUUCACCGUAUUUAGACACGGUGAAUGAUUCACCGUGUUCAACUUAAUACCCUGGCCCCAGCCCUGCCCGCGUGGCGCUGACGUGACGCCUGCGUGGCAGAGACAGGGCCAUUUUUGCAAUUUUAAUUUUAAUAGGGCUAUUUUUAAAAUAAAAAUUGCUCAGGGGGCUAUUUGCAAAAAAACCCCUUAUUAGUAUGUUGGCAUAUACGGUGAGAGCGAUAUAAAUUUACUAUUAAAUUAAAUCAACAAUAAUUAUGGAGUGUCUGUUGUAGCACUGUAAAUAAUUUACUAAAUAUUAAAUAUGGAGAGAAAGAGAGAGAGAGAAAUUAAUAAACGGGGGAGAGGGAUGGGACCCGCCGUACAAGGAUGCCGGGCCAGCUGGCCCGAGAGCGACGGCGUUACGACCCACAACAAAUGCAGAGGAGAAGAGCGUCGGGAUCCUCCGUACACCACCCACAACACCAAACACCAACACCACCCAAUAGAAUCUGAGGAACCGGGCGCACGCGACGCGUGAUUGGCGGAAUAUCUAUCUAUCUCGUUAUGCUCUCUCCCUCUCUCUCUUCCUUUUUUUUUUUUUUUUUGGCGUGGAAAAUGGAAAAUUGGGGGACGCGUUUUUGGCUCACAUCACGCAACAGGGACGGGUGACGUGGCACCGCGAAAGCGAAGCCCGAGUUUGAAUUUUGUCUCAUUGUAUUGUACACCAAUAAUAAUUAGAUAAAUAAACCUGAUUAAAGUUAUUUGAAAUUAAAAUUUUGAAUUUUUGAACUUCACCCUCAAAAUUAGGCCCACUCGUUAAAAUUAAACUUAUUUUUCAUGCGACGAACUAAUAAUAUAACAACGGUAGUUGAGCUCAGAACAAAUGAAUAAAAUGCUGGUUUUGAAGCUUCGAAACUCCUCUCGGCUUGCGCAUUAUUCGUUUCUGCUCACAGAAGUACGUAGCGAGAUGCUUCUGUAAAGCGAAAGCCAAUUUGAAAUUGGAUUGCGCUGCAAUUCAAUUGGGAUUUGGAAAGGUCCUGAUCUUUGAUGCCGUGGGUAAACAUGGUGGAUCAGGUGUACCGAAUAUUUUCUCCUACUUGUGAAAAACAGUUGGGUUUUAGCUUAAAUGGGCCGGGCCAGACCCAAAAGGCCGAGCGGGCUUUGCCACCCAAAUAUUCAGUAAUAAUAGACCGGCAAAUUUAUUUAUUAAAAUUCGUAUUUGAAUGACUCUCUAUUUGCAAACAUUCAUCAAUGAUGUAGAAAGUUUGUGAAAGUACUUGCAAAUUAACAUGACGUCGCUCAGGUUCUCUUCAUCCUUUUUAAUUCAUGUUUAGCGCGGAAACGAUUUUUUAUUUGUUGGGAUUAUUGAUUGCUCUAUAGAUUAUUAAUGAAGUGAUGAUGCUGAUGUACCAAAUCUUUGAUUUAAACAAUUAAUUAGGGAUCAAAUUGUAGAGGUUAACAUAUUGCAUGCAAAGGGGGAAAAAGAAGUCAAAAGUCAAAGUCAUCAUCAGUUUCUAAAUUUUCGACGCAAUGUCCUAUUUUAAUGAGCAAAAUAAAAAAGAUAACGAAAAGAGAGGGUGGAAGGUCAACUUUGUUAGGGAUCUUUGGAAAACAAGAAAUUUGCAACAUUGCAAAAGCACCUAACUGCGUUUGACUUUUCUAUUUAUAAGUACUGUGAAGAUAUAAUUGUGUUGUUUAAUCAGAUAUACACUACUUGUUUUCUUUUUAAAAGUAGAAAACUCUUACCGGAAAAGAAAAUGUGAUGAGCAAUCGUUUGUCACUUUUUCAGGCGUACAAAGAAGUAGAAUAUAAGAGGGUUAUAUAAUUGAAUGUAUAUUUUUUCGGCGACGUGUGCGACUAAAUACCUUGUAAAUUGCGUGUAUAUUUGAUUUGAUAAUAUAGUUUUAAUGGUUCAGUAUUUACUUUCGUCUAUUUCUAGAAGUCGGCAUGGUAUUUCUAAUUUCAAUUAGAAUCGAUUGGAGAAUGAUUUGAUGUGAGAAAACUACUGUUAGUUCUUGACCCAGUGAUGUAUAAUAAGGAGCAAUAAUCUUAUUUGUGAUUAACCAUCCUCGUCCAGCUUCAAAAAUCUCUAAUUAUUUGUGUUGGUUUCGAAUUGGCAAUGUGUUUUUCUUUUUUCUUUUUUUUUAAGAGUUUGUCCAUACAUGCAUUAUCUUGUCCCAGACUUCUCAUGAUAUAAUACAUAUCCUAUCAUAAUACGCGCCCAAAAACCCGGAGAGAGGCACAAGUCUCUCUUUCUGAAAGCACAGGUGGGGAUCAGAUUCACGAAUUGAAAUUUCAAAAUUUCAAAGUAUCGAACAAGAGUGAUUGAGGUACCUGAAAUAUAUCAUGAUUCACUUCUAUAUUUAAAAAAAAUUAGUGUUAGUACUAUUUUUAACAAUUCACAACUCUUAACUAGAGCCUAGAGGCUGCUGUGUAUUCCCUGGACAAACAGAAAAAGAAAAGAAAAGAAAAGAAAAGAGGAAAUAAAGUCCCUUUUAAUUUCGAUCCAAGCAGAAGCAGGGCAACAAACUAAUGCAUGCAUGCGUGUGCAGUUGAGCAUACGGUUCCCGAACAACAUUUGCAAAGUAACGCUUCUUUUCCGUAAACAUAGAGAUCAUGUGUCUACUACAGCUUUGGCCAGAGGAAAUUGUUGUGAACUUUCCACUUCCGAGAAUUAAUGAGCCUCGGUCAUGAGUAAAUAUUCCAAAUCAAAAUUACUUUUUCUCCUUUUUCUUUUUUUUUUUCUUUUUUUUUUUUUAAAUCAAUAGGUUUGGGGUCUAACUUGACGCCGACCUGAUCGGCUCGCAUCGACAAGCGGAACCAAUCAACCAAUCUUGGUUCUGGUUAAUUCGAUGCGCUACAUUGGUACAUACAAAGUGGUUAAUUUGACUCAAAUGUUACCCAACUUGUACGGAACCUGCAUUUGAUUAGAAUCAAAAUGUAAUCUUUUGUUUUUCGUGUUUUUUUUUUUUUUUCUGAGAAUAACUGAAAUGUAAUCAUUACUUUGUGUGUCACAAAAAUAAAAUCUAAACAAAAGUAAUUGCAUUGUACUGCUUCCAAAAGUGAACUGAUGACAAAACAACGCACCGCAGGCUUUUGGGGGAAGCCCCAAAAGCCCAAGAAUCGAUCAUGCAGUUUCCUCUGGUAUUUUUGUACACUUAUUUACUAGCCGCAACAGUAAAGGCUUUGGAUGCAUGGGCCUUGUGUUUGACGAGAAGCUGCUUCCUUGUACAGCCCAAGGCAAAAGGCGAAAAAAGGAAAGCCCGACGCAGCUUCCGCGAAAAGCACCAAAUCUUCUUGACUCCCUGCUGGUGGCUGCUGCUGCUGCUGCUGCUGCUGCUGCUGCAUCGCCCAACGUCGUCGAUCGAGGAAACUUAAUUCGCGAGCCCACGCGCCCCCACCGAUUCGAUCAGCUUUUAAUUGAAGCUCUCACAUUUCUCGUGAGAAGAUAUAUAUACAUGCGUGCACGUAUCUACUGCACCAGGUGCACCACGAACGAUCGAUGCCAAUCUCUCUCCAGAGCCACUCCUUUUUGCACCAUCCAUUAACUGUAGCAUGUAAUGGAUAGAGAGCGAGUGUGAAAUAUUAAACUCUAAAAAUUUCUAUUAUAAUAGCAAAACAUUGGUUGGUUGCUAUCAAAGCAAAAGGUUCUAUGUGUGUAUAUAUAUAUAUAUAUAUAUAUAGGUCCAAAAGGAUAGGCACUGUAUAUAAAAAUAUUUCCGACCAGCUCCAAUGUAGCAACUCUAUACUGAUUUUUUUUUUUUUUUUUUUUUUUNUUUUUUUUUUUUUUUUUUUUUUUUUUUUUUUUUUUUUUUGUUUUGAGAGAGAUAGGUAGCACGCUACCCACUUCGUUUAUUUCAUUUAGAAAUAAACUUCGCUAGAAAUGUGAAUCAACUAGGAUUCGAACUUGGAUCUCAGACACCAACCACUAAGCCCUUUGCCACUUACUCUAGGAGUGGUCACUGAUGUUGACAUUAAAACUAAUU
rnacentral:lncRNA from 1 species